AGAGAAGUUGUGCUCAUUUACGUGGACAACGAGUAUGGAAAUGGAGUGAUACCAUAUCUUACUGAUGCCUUGCAAGAGAUUGACACCCGUAUCUCCUACCGGAGCGUCAUUCAUCCAUUAGCCACUGAUGAUCAAAUCCUCGAAGAGCUUUACAAGUUGAUGACGAAGCCAACCAGAGUUUUCAUUGUACACAUGCUUACACCUCUAGGCCCACGGCUUUUCACCAGAGCGAAUGAGAUUGGAAUGAUGAAAGAAGGUUAUGUUUGGAUUCUAACUGAUGGGUUAACUGAUAUCUUGAGUACUUUGGAUCCAUCUGUCAUUGAUUCAAUGCAAGGAGUGCUGGGCGUGAAGCCUCAUGUUCCAAGAUCGAAAGAGCUUGAAAGUUUUAAAAUCAGAUGGAAAAGGAAAAUUCAACAAGAAUAUCCAACCAAUGAAAGCUUUGAGCUGAACAUUUUUGGACUCUGGGCUUAUGAUGCUGCUUCUGGGCUAGCCAUGGCAGUUGAAAAACUUGGGCCAACAAACUUCAGCUUCCAAAAGUCUAAUACUCACAGAAAUUCAACCGAUCUUGAUACUGUAGGAGUCUCCCAAAUUGGUCCAAGUCUUCUCCAAUCACUAUUAAGUACUAGAUUUAAGGGCCUCAGUGGACACUUUCAAAUUUUGAACAGGCAACUACGUUCAUCAGCUUUUCAGGUGGUCAAUGUGAUCGGCAAAGGGGAAAGAGGGGUUGGAUUUUGGACACCAGAGAAUGGAACUGUAAGAAAGUUACAUUCUACUUCCAAGGCCAAUCUAGGAACAAUCGUAUGGCCAGGAGAAUCUCCCUCCGUUCCUAAAGGUUGGGUCCUUCCCACCAAUAAGAAGAAGAUGAGAAUAGGAGUACCAGUCACCAAGGGUUUUGGUGAAUUCGUAAAGGUGACACGAGAUCCUAGCACUAACGCAACGGAGGUCACUGGAUUUUCCAUAGCAGUCUUCGAUGCAGUGAUGGCAGCAUUACCAUAUGCUGUUCCUUAUGAGUACAGUCCCUUCCAGACGCCCGAUGGCGAUCCAGCGGGUGAUUACAACGAUUUGAUAUAUCAAGUAUAUCUCCAGGUCAGUUAAUCGAACUCUUUACCUUUCCUGGUGCAUAGUGGUAACUCUAGGUUUAGCUUCAAUUAUGAUGGAGUUUGUCAAAAUAAAAACCAAACCUGCAGCAUAUUUUCCCGUAAUGCAUAACAGAAUGCCCCAUUGUUUAUUGUGAACAGAAGUAUGAUGCUGUGGUGGGAGAUACUACUAUUCUAGCGAACAGGUCCUUGUAUGUAGACUUUACACUACCGUACACAUAAUCUGGGGUGUCAAUGAUCGUGCCCAUCGUAGAUAGAAGAAGAAAAAAUGCAUGGGUUUUCUUGAAGCCACUUACUUGGGACCUUUGGGUGACAAGCUCUUGUUUCUUUGUAUUCAUUGGCUUUGUGAUUUGGGUUCUUGAACAUCGAGUAAAUAAAGAUUUCAGAGGGCCUCGUUCACAUCAAGUUGGCACUAUCUUCUGGUUUUCAUUCUCAACAUUGGUGUUUGCUCAGAGUAAUUUCUCUUCCACCUCCUUGAAUUUUAUCCAGCAACUUAUCUACUCUUGUAAUAUUCAAAUACUCAUGAUACGAAGCAUAUUGAGCACAUCUCAAACACAAUCGAAACUAACUUCUAGUAUGGCCUGCUUGCUUGUUUCCCAUGAUUACAACCUCUAUUAAUAUAUGGACAUUCCAUACAAUAUGCAAGUAAAUUUCAGGGUAAUUUUUAUGUUUAAGAAAUUAUAUAUAUUUGUCUUUAUAUUGAUUUUCUGGAGUUGAUUUUUCCAUUUCACUCUUAAAUUUUGUUAACAGAGGAGAGAAUUGUCAACAACUUGGCUCGGUUUGUGGUGAUCAUAUGGCUUUUUGUGGUGCUGAUUCUUACUCAAAGUUACACAGCCAGCUUGACUUCAAUGUUGACAGUUCAACAGCUCAACCCAACCAUCACCGAUAUAAAUGAGCUGAUAAAGAAAGGGGAGCGUGUAGGUUGCCAACAUGCCUCUUUCGUUCAUGAAUUCUUGAUCAAAUGGAUGAAAUUUGAUGAGUCUAAGCUAGUAAUCUAUGAGUCACCAGAAGAACUGGAUGAAUUAUUUUCAAAAGGUGGAAUUGCUGCUGCAUUUGAUGAAAUCCCUUACAUGAAGAUUUUCCUUGCAAAAUAUUGCUCCAAAUACACUGCAGUCGGACCAACGUACAAGUUUGAUGGCUUUGGAUUUGUAAGUACUCUCAUAACACACGUAUAAAUUUUAUACCGAGGUUUCUUAUUUUUGAUAAUUUUUCAGGUGUUUCCAAAGGGUUCACCCCUUGUAGCUGAUGUUUCAAGGCAAGUCUUAAACGUGACAGAGGGAGCUAAAAUGCUACAAUUUGAGAAGGCAUGGUUUGGGCAACCAACCAGUUGUCCAGAGCUCACCAACUCAGUUUCUUCAAACAGCAUCGGCCUGAAUAGCUUUUGGGGCCUAUUCCUCAUUGCUGGAGUCGCUUCAUUUGUAGCUCUCAUCACAUGCAUCACCACAUUCCUUUAUGAAAAUAGAGAUGCCUUAAUAAACUUGAAUUCCCCAUCUUCGAUAUGGAGAAAAAUUAAAGCCAUGGUGACACGCUUUGACGACAAAGAUCUUAGGUCCCAUACUUUUAGAGAAAGCGAUCAACUUCAAGACGAGCGACAUCAAAGCCAUGGAUGCAGCUACACCAACUUCCCUCCAAGUCCAUCGAGCCUUUUGAUCCCAACACACAAUAAUUAUGCUUUCUUCGGAGAACAAGGAACACCUUCUUCUGGACAUGCUGAUCCAGUCGGUCCAAAUCGGCCAAUGUCUCCACAUAUAAUGUUUGAAUAUGAGCUUGCUAAUAUAAAUCACGAGUAAACAAGACCACCUGUAAUUGAAUAACUGAUAAAUCAUUGCCUUUUUCCUGUGUUCUUUAUGCCGGUGGCAUCAUUACCCACAACCAAGAAUUUCAAAAUUUUCAAAAAAAAAAGGUAGGACUAGGACAGGGAGGGCCAGUUUUCAAACCAUCGCAGACAUGACGCAUAACAUUGUUUUAAAAUCUAUAUCAGCCAACGGUUCCUACAUUUUUUUACAGGACAUAGAUGAGCCAUUACUUGCACAUGCUUUUUCUUUUUUCUCUGUUUUUUUUUCCUUUUUAAAUGAAAAUGAAAUUCAAUCUUCCCACAUUGAUGAUUGCCUUAAAUUCCGUCCAAUUCACAAAUUUAUUGCUGCCUAACGUAGCAGGUCAACUUCCUAUGCCUUAUCGGCAUGAAAUAAAAUAAAUAUUUUUAAAGAUUACCCUUGCACUACGUGGUUUACAUUGAUCAAUGGAGGGAAUGUGAUACGGUGAAAUUUUUUGGAACGUUCGUAGUGGUGGAGUACUCUCGUGUCUAUAUAUAUAUAUAUAUAUAUAUAAAAUGAUGUAUAGAUUUAGGGUUAUGAUAAUUCCCCUUUUUUAUACCAUUUUUUUAAUAUAAUGGAUUUCUUUCUUCAUUAUUCUUAGUUUUUUUUCUAUUUAGUGUUUUCUAUAUAAAUCCAUAUUUUCUUAUUUUAUUUAUUUAUUUUAUUAUUAUUAUUAUUAUUAUUAUUAUGUAUCAUAAUUCAUUAAUUCUGAAUGAUAUAAUUUUUGUGAGAAUAAAUAUUUUUUAUUUACAAAAUAUUUGAAAAUUUUCCAUUUUCAUUCGAAGGGUAGCCACGUAUCAUCAUCAACUAAUUAAAUUCCUUGCGCCCGAGUGCAGAAGAUGAUAAGUCCAUCACCAUGUGAAUACUGUACUGCCAACUGCCACCUAACAUUAGUGACUGUUGGAAUUCAACAACAUGCUACAGGCGAUGAAUAGCUCCAUGGAGUUCAUCAAGAAAACCUCUCUUAUGACUUUACUGGGUCAAAUUACGCUUUCUUAUUUAAUUAAUAUUUUAAGAGAUUCAAUCUUUGACCGCCCAACAAGUGUUGGUUGGGUUUUGUAUUCACAACUGUGCAUCUGUGCCUUGUUACAGUGCCUUCGCUUCUAGGCUUCUAAUUCCUACUUUUCCAAAUUCUAGACCCUAUAAAUGAACUAUAUUCUGCAUUAUUGUGAACCAUCAAGUUGACUGCAGAGUAGUCCUGAUUCCAGCUGGCUUCUGGUUUCAAAAUUCAAAAUUCAAAAUUCUAAGUCCCAUAAAUAAUCUCUUAAUUUCUCUCCAAUAUUAUGACUACCAUAGCUUCCAACGAGUUCAAAGAUGAGAAGGCACCCUACCCAACUCCUUACCUCUCUCUUGUUCUUUCUCUUUCCCACGAUUUUCUUCAUACAAAAGGGCAUGGCACAGAACACAACAAUACCAGUUAAAGUGGGAGUGGUUCUGGACUUGGAUACAUGGGUUGGGAAGAUGGGCUUGAGCUGCAUCUCCAUGGCCCUUUCAGACUUGUAUGCCUCUCAUGGUCACUACAAAACCAGGGUGGUUACAAAAAUCAGAGACUCCAAAAGAGAUGUUGUUGGUGCAGCUGCAGCAGGUACUAUCCCUUAAAUCUUCUCCUUCAACAGUUAAACUCAGCAGUCUAAAUAAUUUCAGAAUAAUCCGAGAGCCUGAUUGGAAAUUGUUUUUUUAGAAUAUUCAAAAAAUUGUUUUAUGUUUUUUAUUCUUAAUUUUAUAUUAUUUUCACUUGUUUUUAAAAGUUGUUGUAAGAAAUAAUUAUAUAAAUAUUAAAAAUAGAUUAAAAAUAUUUCAAGUUUUUAAAUAAACUUUUGUUUUACAAAAAUAAAAUAAUAGUUACUAAACAUGUUCUAAAUAUCUGCACCAUUUAGAAAACCAAACUUUAUUAUUCUGAAAAAAAAUAAAAAAUGAAUAAUGAAGCAAUUGAUGUUGAGUCAAUCCAUUUGCGUUUCGAGGAACAUCGUUGGACUUAUUCUCUUUGAGAAUUAAUAAACUUAAUUGGGAGCAAUUUAAUUAGCAUACCAAAAGAUAUUUGCUUUGAGUAUUCUCUUAGAAAAGCUACAAGAAUACUCUAUAAUGUUGAAUUCGUUUUGAAGUUGAUGCAUUAUUUAUAUUUAAUAUUUUUAGAAUUAGAUCAAUUAUUAUAAAAUUUAAAAAGUUAUGGUUUUAUAGUUUAGUGAUUGAACUAAUGAUUAAAUCGUUGUUGAACCAAUUGCAUUAUAAAUAUAUAAUUUAUAUAUUAUUAAAAUUUAAAAUAAUUAUAAAGUUUAUAUAUAUAUAUAUAUAUAUCUUAAAAAUAAUAAUAUAUGUUUUUCACAUUUGAUAUUAUCAAAUUUAUAUCAUAAAUAAAUAUAAAUAUAUUAAAUUUUAUUAAAUGAGUGGGUACCUUCCCAUCUAUGAUCAGAUUGUCCAUGAUUCAAAUCCCCCAAUUCUAAGAAUUUAGGAUUUUACAACAACUCACUGUCUUUGAUUCCACAUUCAACAACUCAAUAUCUCUUAUCGGUGUCAAUCAUAAUUAACCAAAGUGGAGCCAGGCCUUAAUAUAUAUUGAGCUCGGCUUCCACCCCUUCACUAUGGGCUUGGCUUUUGCUAAGAGGAAAAAAAGGUUGGCCAACCCAAAACCAACAAUGGCCUGGUUCACUGGGUCAGUGGUCCAGCUGUUGGUUUGUCUAGUUCAAGGUUGGCCCAACGUGUACUCCGGACCAAAAUAAAUAAAUAAAUAAAUUUAGAAUCUAAAAGAUAGUAUUACACUUAUGAUCCAAAAAAUUGAAAUUUAGAAUGUACAAGAUAGAACACUUGUGAUUUAAGAAAAUAUCUUGAUGAUAAAUAUGAGUAAGAAGUAGUGCAAAAGAGUCUCCAUUAAUUAUGUCAUGUUUAUUUGUUUUAUUUUUACAACUAGAUAACAUAUCUUAUUUACCACAUAAUAGGUAAGGGGUAGUAAUCAGUGUUAAAAAACUAUAAGGGUACCGGUAUUGACAUUAUUUAUGAACAUAAGUCGAAAACGAUAUGAAAUUAGUGAGAUUAGGUUAGCGGUGAUGGUUCGAUUUCAUAUUUGUGCUGAUUUAUAGAUUUUAAUUUUUUUUAAUAAGGCUUUCAUUGAUAAAUUACAAUAAUUGUAUUAUAAUUUUGGUACAUUAUUUAAAUAAAAAAAAAAAGAGAACCUAUAAUGCAGAUAAUUUUAAAUUUUAAAAUAAUUUAAAUAAAUCUUAAUUGGGAUUAAAUGAAUUAUUGAUGUAAUUUUUGGGUGAAGUUGAUAGACUUCUAACCCAAAUGGCCCUAUUUCGUUAAAUGAAUAGCAGGUUGUAUCUGGUUGAGCAUACAAUAAAUGGGUCGUCUUCCUAUCAAAUUAUAGUAUCACAUCAUAUUUUAUUAUUAUAUUUAAAAAAAAAAUCUCAUAAACAAGGUUUAGUACGCUGUUUGAUUGCUGACAGUAGAAAUUAAAAUAAAAUUAAAAAGAGAGAGAGAAGUCAGAAUCUUUAAAUUUAUUAAUUCAUUUAAAUGCUGGUUUAUCUUUUGAACCUGCGUGCUCCUGAACUCAGCUGUAGACCUCUUACAAAAUGAAGAAGUGGAAGCCAUAAUUGUUGUCGCCUCGCGUAUCCGGUGGUCCACGUUGCUGCUAGAUGGAUGGACACGUGAUUCUCAACACACAAGGGGUUCUUGAUUCAGCGGUUGUACCUACAAAAGGCAUCCGGACAGGGUGUCCGGACGCACCCUCCGAUGGUUUUGUUAGUCAUGGUAAGAGAGAGAGACAUAAAUCAGUUGGCCUUCUACUAGGUCUCAAGAGGUUACCAGGGGGAUCCCCUUCUUCUGCGUGUGAAGGCAUAUAUAUACAACUUCAGGGGUACUGCUCCUUUCAUUAAUGGUGAGGAGAUAUUUUAUGUUGUAAUGAUGAUAAUAGGUGUCAGUAGGAGCAUUAUCAUCCUACGAAUGGCUGUCAGAGACCAUGGUAGGUGAUGCGGCUGUCAGAGAUCGUGGGAAGUGGUUAUGUAGAAUGAUCGUGGGAAGUGACUUACUGUCGCUUCCUCUUGUCUUCUCACUCUGCAGGUGACAAGAUGUGGGUCAUGGCUGCUUGUUGUGAUUGCGUGUAAGACUCGCUUUACUUUAUUUGACCAUUCAGACGAUUUAUAUCCGGGUGGCUCAUGCUGAUUAUCCGGAUGUGUUGUGGAGAUUAUCCGGAUGUCUACGCUCUGCCAGCGUCGUUUGCUCUUCCUUGGAUAGGAGAAGCUGAAACGUCGUUUGCCUUUCCUUGAGGCGGUCCGGAUAGGAUAACUGCACCAUGCAUAUCCUCAGGGGAAUCCGGAUGAUGAAGGUCCGGCUGAUAACACGUGCCACGCGUCACUAUGAGCUGCGUGCCACGUGUUUCCCAAGGGGAGGGGUCCCUACANNNNNNNNNNNNNNNNNNNNNNNNNNNNNNNNNNNNNNNNNNNNNNNNNNNNNNNNNNNNNNNNNNNNNNNNNNNNNNNNNNNNNNNNNNNNNNNNNNNNUUCCUCCACUUCUCUCAGGUUCCACCCAUCUUCAUUCAUCCCAACCUUGUCCGGGUGCUGAUGGGAUGCAGCAUCAUCAACAUGCUGUACAGCCUCGACCUUACGCUACUGGAAGUGUUCUUUGUCUAUUCCCUGAAGAAAGCAAAAAAUGAUAUCUUCAGUGUGUCUGCGCACCUGCCCUCCCUUCAAAUGGUGACAGAGCUGCCAGAUUCGACAAAGGGAGGGGCGAAGGGGCUGGUGGCGGUCCGGGGUGGAUGGGCGGGGCUACCGGAGCGUGCGUCGAGGCCCUUUUCUCCAAAUUAUACCUUAAAAAUUUCGGGUAUUCUUGUUUUGCGAUUCUUUGUCCGGAUUUUACUUUGCUGAUUUUUUUUUUGCUGAUUUUCCCGGACGGAGUUCUCACCUUUUGUUGCUGUUAAUGCAGGUCUGGAAUUGAGGGGCCACCUUGUGGAUUGGGUGGAAAAGGCGUCCUUCGCCUGUGUCUGCAAAUUAUUCGAGAUAGAUCCCAAGGAGAGGGCCUACAAGACAUUGCUUUCCGCGCGAAAUUUGAUAGCGGUCGUCCGGGAGUCCCAGGAAUAUGUUAUCAAUAUUCUCCCCAGGAAACUGGCAAAGGAUGAGAUAGUGCCUGGGGAGCAUUAUACUGUGAAGGAGCUCCCCCUCUAUCAGGAAGCUAAAGAGGCUGAUGCUGAGAGACGGCGAAAGCUCCUGGAGGAUCGAGAUCAGAGGAAAAAUGAAGGCACUAUCCGGAAGGCUCCCGGACAGAAGCGGGGUCCGGAUUCUCCUCCAAAGAAAGCUCCAGCAAAAAGGAGGAAGCUGGUGAAGAAGCAUGGGAAGGAUGUGAAGGAACCCACUCCUCCCAAGGAGUUUCCUCCUCCGCAAAUUACCUAUGAGGGGGAAGUAAUGAUAGAGGAGCCAGUAAACGCUGCUCCGCAUUCUAUCUCAAGCGGCCCCGGACGCAUGUCGGGGUUGAACCAUUCGGGCACUUCCUUGGCCGCGGUUGCGCGUCUGGCUAACGUGGCUGAGGAAGCUGCAUCUAUCAACCGUCCGGGCAACCUUAAUCCGGAUGCUGAUGCAGCUGAAACGACCCCGUUGGAGGAAGCGGGGGCAGAAAGCCAAAGUCAGCCUUCCGACGACCCGGAUCGCUUGGCCAUAGUUCCGGUGAAAGGGCCUCCUUCAAAGAAGCCGCGUUCGACGCGCGAUCUACGGUCCGGACUCCUUGGGCGGCUUCAAGAGCGGCAGCAAGAGAUUGAAGUUAGCUGCGCUUCUGCCCAUGACGCUCAUCCGGAUGGAGGCGAGGUGGAGAUGGCAACUGAGACUUCGGCCGCCCCGGUAAUAAUUCCGGCUGAAGAUGUAUCCGGAUAGAUGCGUCCGGACGAAGAUGUGGAGGUCCCGAAUCCGGGACAAGAGUCACCUUCUGUUUCCUCAUCUGAGGAGGAACCUGCUGACGAUGCAGCUCCUGCUAGCCCUUUCAGCUAUGCGGAGUUGGAAGUUAAACUAAAACAGAUUACACCCGACUGGAAAGCCAUCAAGCUCUCUGCUAAGAUGUUUGAUAUGAUAGAAACGGUAUACCGUUGUCUUGUGCUUUUGCUUUUUGACUCUUUGUUGCACUGAUGUGUUUGUUGUAGUACGAUUUAUGUCUUUGCUUUUCUUGCUUGCGUGUCAGCUGGUGAGGGGCCUCCGCGGCAUGGCUCAACAACACGAUCUUUUUACUCAGCUGCUGCAGACUGCAGACUAUAUGAGGACCUUCUCCUCUCGACGCCAAGAGAUUGAAAAUCAGCUGCGUCUGAGAAUGGAGGAGGCUGAGGCCAAUCUAUCCACCAUGCGAGAGGAAAAUGAAGCCCUCCGAGUGGAGUUGGCUGAGGCGAAGAGUCGAGAAGAAUCAACUGCAGGCCGCCUACAUGAGGCGGAAGGUGAGGCAGCCCGGCUAAGGGAUGAAGUGAGUCAACUAUGGACAGAAGUUUCGAAUGAAAAGAAACAGAAGGAAGACUUGCAGCUGCGCCUGGAUGUGCAAAAAGAAGAACUUGAAAGGGAGUUUGUUGUGGAAAGGGAGGAACUUGCAGCGGAUUACCAGCAACAAGUUGAUGAUACGUUUAUCUUUGGGUAUCGCUGCUGUAUGAAGAAGAACGGUAUCAAGCGAGAUACCCCUUCGAUUCCUCCGGGUGAAGAAAAGAAGCUCUACGAGAAGCCCGCUCCCUGAUAGUUUAUCUCUUUUUGCAAUUUUUCUGCUGUAAUUUUUCCUUCUGUAUUUUUGUGGUCCGGAGAUCUCUUUGUAAUUACAUUUAUUCAUAUCAAUAAAAACAUAUUUCUUUCUCAUUUACACUUGUGUCUACUUUUUAUUGAUAGUACUGCUUUAAAUUGGACACAUUCCAUGGUCUGAGUAACGGAGUGCCAUCUAGCUUUUGUAAAUGAUAGGCUCCAUUUUUGUUUGCCUUAGACACUAUGUAGGGUCUUUCCCAAUUGGCUUGGAACUUUCCAGCACCUACUUCAGCAGUAUUCUCAAAAACUUUUCUAAGUACUAGCGUACCAUUUUUGAAGUUUCUGGGCCUGACUUUUCGAUUGUAAUGCGCUGAUGCCCUUUGUUGAUAAUCUGCUAUCCGGAUGGUCGCGCUUUCUCUGACUUCGUCUGCCCAGUCCAAAUUUCUUCCUAGUUCUGUGUUGGCAUCUUCUUGUUUUGCUGCAUCGAUCCGGAUAGUAGGAAGACCUAUUUCAGUGGGAAUGACUGCAUCCAUUCCAUAUGUGAGGGCGAAAGGAGUGUUUCCUGUUGGCCGUCCGGGUGUGGUUCGAUAGGCCCACAGGACGCCGGGCAGCUCCUCCACCCACUUCCCUUUGGCUUGCUCAAGCCUUUUCUUUAAGGCAUUGAUUAGAGUUUUGUUUGUGGCUUCCGCCUGCCCAUUGCUUUGAGGAUAACGCGGCGUGGAGUAUGAAUUCCGGAUAUUCAGUUCCGAACAGAAAUUCCUGAAUGCAAUGCUGUCAAAUUGUGGACCAUUGUCAGCUAUGAUGAUUUGGGGAAUUCCAAAGCGGCAAACAAUGUUCUUCCAUACGAAUUUGGUGACAUCUUUAUCUUUGAUGCUUGCAUAUGCUUCAGCUUCUACCCAUUUACUGAAGUAAUCAGUGGCGACAAGGAGGAAUUUCUUCUGGGCAGGUGCUGCUGGGAGGGGUCCCACUAUGUCCAUGCCCCACUGCGCGAAAGGCCAUGGGCCUGAGACCGAUUUCAAUGCUGCUGAUGGCAUAUGUGGAAUAGGAGCGUAUCGUUGACAUUUAUCACACUUUUGGACAUAUGCUGCCGCGUCUUUCUUCAUUGUUGGCCAAUAGUAUCCUUGUGAAUGAGCUCUAUGUGCCAGGGAUCGUCCUCUCGCAUGAUUUCCGCAUAUUCCUUCAUGUAAUUCAGCUAGCACAUACUGGGCCUCUGAAUGCCUAAGACAGCGAAGAUAAGGCCCUGUGAAGGAUCGCUUGUACAGGUGCCCCCCAAUCAGGGUGAAACGGGCAGCUUGCACCCGGACUUUGUGCGCUUGCUUAGGAUCUUCGGGUAAAGUGCCUGCCCGGAGAUAUUCUGCAAUAUUAUGCGUCCAUUCUUGAUCAUCCGUUUGGUUUGCCUCAAUGGUGUUGCAAGUGGAAUCUUCUGCGACAGAGGAUUUGGCUUGCACAUGUAUGGGCAGUAGAAUGGCUUCUUUGAUAGGGAGGGAGGCAGCUAUGCCGGCCAAAGCGUCAGCGUGCCUAUUGUCAGCUCGCCUAAUUUUUUCGAUUGUCCACUCGGUGAAUUGCUGUAAGGUGCUUCUUACUUUGGCCAAGUAUCGCGCCAUGCGUGCGUCCUUAGCCUCAUAUUCUUUCUGGACGUGCCUUACCACUAGUUGCGAGUCGCUGUAGAUCCGGAGUUUGGAGACGGAUAGAGCAAGGGCGAGGUCCAAUCCGGACAGGAUGGCCUCGUAUUCUGCUUCAUUGUUAGACGCGGAGAACCCCAGCCGGAUGGCUUGCUCCAGAUGUUCCCCAGUUGGGGACUGCAAUAAGAGCCCGACUCCAGAUCCUGAUGAACGUGAGGCUCCAUCAACUCGCAGAGUCCACCAUUCUUUUUUACUUGAUUCUUCAUGUUGGCCGGGUUUUCGGGAAUAUUCUAGCACGAAGUCAUCCAUUACCUGGCCUUUCAUGGAUAGCCUUGGUUGGAAUUCAAUUCCAAACUCGCUUAAUUCGAUGGCCCAUUGUAGCAUUCUCCCGGUUAAAUCUGGCUUGUGCAGAAUGUUGCGAAGGGGUUGAUCAGUCAACACGAUCACCGGGUGAGCUUGAAAAUAGGGCCAGAGCUUUUGGGCAGCGCUUCGAAGGGCUAAGGCUAUUAGCUCCAUUUUUGAAUAUCUGGUUUCUACGUCUGUCAAUGCCCUGCUGACAUAGUAGAUGGGCUUCUGCUCCUUGGGUGAUGGGCAGCGGAAUAGAACCGCACUGAUUGCCCAUUCUGAGACUGCCAAAUACAUGUAUAGUUUCUCUUUUGGGAUGAGGCUGCUCAAGAUGGGUGGUUGCAUAAGACAAUGCUUAAUCCUUUCCAAAGCGCUUUGGCAACUGUCUGUCCACCCAUGCGCUCCAGCUUUUCGUAUUGCCAAGAAGAAGGGUCGCAACUCAUCGGUAAAGCGGGCUAUGAAACGUCCUAACGCAACGAGCUUGCCUGUGAGACGUUGUAUCUCCUUCUUGUUCCUGGGAGGAGGUGUUUCCAUAACUGCCUUGACUUGAUCCGGGCUGACUUCUAUGCCCCUUUGGCUGACCAUAAAUCCUAGAAAUUUGCCAGCACUCACGCCAAAGACGCAUUUAGAAGGAUUUAACUUCAUGCCAUACCCUCGUAAGAGGUGAAAAACUUCUUGCAAAUGAAGGAUAUGUUGUUCUCGAGUUUUGCUUUUAACCACGAUAUCGUCAAUAUAUACCUCUACUGAGUGGCCUAUCAGAGGUUUGAAGAUUUUAGUCAUCAAUCUUUGAUAAGUGGCGCCAGCAUUUUUGAGUCCGAAUGGCAUGACUUUGUAGCAGUAAAGGCCAUGUGGUGUUAUGAAUGCUGUCUUUUCUUCGUCAUCCGGAGACAUGGGAAUCUGGUGAUAUCCGGAGAAGGCAUCCAAGAAAGAGAGCAUCCCUUGCCCGGAAGUGGAAUCCACAAUUUGAUCUAUUCGUGGUAAUGGAAAACUGUCUUUUGGACAUGCGUUAUUGAGAUUGGUGUAAUCAACACAGACUCGCCAUUUGCCCUCUUUCUUUGGUACCACCACUACAUUUGUCAACCAAUCCGGGUAAGAUACUUCUCUGAUGAAUCCGGCUUCCAGCAAUUUGUCAAUUUCAUUUCGGAUAACUUUUUGUCUAUCCGGAUGAAAGCGUCUAAUCUUCUGUCGAACGGGUCUGGCUGCUGGAAAAACGUUAAGCUUGUGAGAGGCAAUAGAGGGAUGAAUUCCUUUCAUAUCCGAAUGUGUCCAUGCGAAGAUGUCAUGGUUGCUUCGAAGGAUAUUUUGUAUGCUCUGAGUUUCUUCUUGUGUCAUGAGGGAACUGAUGUUCGUGAGGUGAUCGCUUUCCUCCGAAAUUUGGAUUGUUUGUAAGGGAUCUGCUGCCGGGGGAUCUUUGUCCGCCGGACCCAAUAAUUGCUAUUGGUCGUGUGCAAUGCUGGGUUCAGGGGGAGAUGCAUCCUCCUGGCUAGUUCCCGCUUCUCGUGCUAUUUGAUAGCACUGUCGAGCGGCCAACUGGCUGCCAUACAAGUCAGUUUGCCCUUCGUUGGUGAGGAAACUCACCAUUUAAUGAUAUGUGGAAGGGAUGGCCUUCAUGUAGUGAAGCCAUGUGUGUCCCAAGAUGACAUUGAAGGGUGAUAACUCUUGUACCACCGAGAAUUGCACGUUGAGAGUGACUGGGCCAGCUUGGACCGGCAGUAUAAUGUCUCCUAAGGAUGUGGUUGAUGACCCGUUGAAUCCGGAUAAGAUUCUUCCGGGGUUUUCGAGACCUGCGAGACUAUGUCCCAUAUGGCCAACGACUGAUGCUUGCACCAGAUCGGCUGAACUGCCUGGGUCGACCAAGAUACGUCUUACAUCGAAAUCUCCUAUUUCUAGGGAGAGGAUGAGGGCGUCGCGAUGUGGCUGUAGCGUCCGGGUGGGAUCUACUGGUGGGAAAAUGAUUGUCCCAUCUAUGGGGCGAGGGCCCUCUCCAGUGAGACCCGGCCGGAUGGAAUUAAUGCGUUCGCGUAUUGACGCGGCUCGCAGCAAUUUCUGCCUUUUCCGCCUGGAAUCGUAUUCCUCGUCAGAUGGGCCCCCGUUGAUAUAGUUUAUGACAGCCUUGGGGGCGACUGGGGUCCUCGGGGCCCUAGAGUUAUGAUGUUGAGAUGCGUCCCUUCCUCCAGUAUCUGAGCGGAGGUACUGUUUUAAAUGUCCUACUUUGAUGAGCCUUUCAACCAGAUACUGGAGGGACCGACAUGUCUCUGUUGUAUGACCAUGGUCUUUGUGGAAGGUGCAUUUCUUGCUGCGGUCUCUCAUGGAUGGGUCCGUUUCGAGGGGUCUAGGCCACCUGAAGUCGGACAACCCUUGGAUCAUUGGAAGAAGUUUUUCGUAUAACACGGAUAGGGGUGUGAUGGGCGGCCUAUCCGGACGACUCGGCCCGUCCUUCCUCCGGUCAACUGGUUUUGGCCGGUCCGGAGGUUUGGCAUGUCUGUUCGCGUCAUCUCUGGAAGCCCGUCCGGCAACCAAAACUUGCUGAGUGGCUGCACGUACGUCAUCUUCGAGCAUUGAAUAUUUGUUAGCACGUCUGAACAAAUCGUCCAUCAUUGUAGGAGGCUUUUUGGCCAGCGAUUCGAAAAAUGGAGUGCCUGGACAGAUGCUUCUCUUGAAGAUCUGUAGGACAGCAUCCAUGCUGCAAGCCUCUAUUUGAAGUACGGCUUGGCCAAAUCGUUUCACAAAUUCCCUCAAGGAUUCGUUGUCUCUCAUUUUUAUGUUCUGGAGGGUGCUGAUAUUCUGCUUGUGUCGAGCAGAGCACAAGUACUGUCCCACGAAAGCUUCAGAUAGGUCCCUGAAAUUGUCAACAGAGUUAGGAGGUAGGCGAUGAAACCAUGAGAGGGCCUGCCCUUGAAGGCUGGCGGGGAAUACUUUGCAUAGCAAUGCAUCGUUGCCAAUAUCGAGCGUCAUAAGCUGUCGAUAGUGCAUGAUGUGAUCGAAGGGAUCGUUGGUCCCAUCGUAUGUGGAAAACUUUGGUACGAGGAAUCCCCUUGGGGGCUCGUAAUGGGUGAUAUGAGAGCAAAAGGGCGUGGAGAGCACGUCAUCCAGCCUUUUGCUGAUGGAGCCAAUGGGUGGCUCGUUUGGGAGGUUUCUCCCAGCUGGUCGUUCCGCUAGGUGUGAGUGAACGUUCCGCAUCGCUGGGGUGACCAUGGGGUCACGAUGCGGAGAUACGUUCUGCACCAUGGGAGCGAUCAUAGGAUCGGGGCGUGGUGCCCGGGUCGUGGCUACUGGUGGCCUUGAUCUCCCAGGCUCUUGUGGGCCUAGUCUUGCGCGCAUAGAACUUGACAACUGUGAUUUUCUAUCACGUUGUCUCUUUGCUGAAAAAUGAGUGGAAUCUGAGCUUUCCUCACUGGGAGCUCGAGGCAUAGGUGUACGUGGCUCAUGGGGCCUUGCGUUGUAUGCUCUUGGGACAACUCCUGUUGACCCAGGAUAUAUUGAUUCUGGCUCUGGCCUUGAGUUUGCCACCUGGCCUCUUGAACGCUGACGACGAGGAGAACCUGACGUUGAGGCUUGAAUGCGUAACACAACGUUUUCUUCCCUUAACCUCACCGUCUCCUGGAGGAGAGCUCUUAGCUGUUUUUCGCUCGCCAACUGUCUUUUUUCGAUGGCCUGACGCCAUUCGAGAUUAUCUUCCUCCCCUCUACCGGAUGAUCGACUUUGGGAAGGUGUGGCCAUCUUUGCUAGUGACUGAAUCAAAAUAAAAAGUAAAGCUUCCCACAGACGGCGCCAAUGUUGUCGCCUCGCGUAUCCGGUGGUCCACGUUGCUGCUAGAUGGAUGGACACGUGAUCCUCAACACACAAGGGGUUCUUGAUUCAGCGGUUGUACCUGCAAAAGGCAUCCGGACAGGGUGUCCGGACGCACCCUCCGAUGGUUUUGUUAGUCAUGGUAAGAGAGAGAGACAUAAAUCAGUUGGCUUUCUACUAGGUCUCAAGAGGUUACCAGGGGGAUCCCCUUCUUCUGCGUGUGAAGGCAUAUAUAUACAACUUCAGGGGUACUGCUCCUUUCAUUAAUGGUGAGGAGAUAUUUUAUGUUGUAAUGAUGAUAAUAGGUGUCAGUAGGAGCAUUAUCAUCCUACGAAUGGCUGUCAGAGACCAUGGUAGGUGAUGCGGCUGUCAGAGAUCGUGGGAAGUGGUUAUGUAGAAUGAUCGUGGGAAGUGACUUGCUGUCGCUUCCUCUUGUCUUCUCACUCUGCAGGUGACAAGAUGUGGGCCAUGGCUGCUUGUUGUGAUUGCGUGUAAGACUCGCUUUACUUUAUUUGACCAUUCAGACGAUUUAUAUCCGGGUGGCUCAUGCUGAUUAUCCGGAUGUGUUGUGGAGAUUAUCCGGAUGUCUACGCUCUGCCAGCGUCGUUUGCUCUUCCUUGGAUAGGAGAAGCUGAAACGUCGUUUGCCUUUCCUUGAGGCGGUCCGGAUAGGAUAACUGCACCAUGCAUAUCCUCAGGGGAAUCCGGAUGAUGAAGGUCCGGCUGAUAACACGUGCCACGCGUCACUAUGAGCUGCGUGCCACGUGUUUCCCAAGGGGAGGGGUCCCUACAAUAAUAGGGCCCGGAUCAUCGACGCAGGCCAACUUCAUGAUCAGUCUUGGAAGCAAAGCUCGGGUGCCCAUCAUUUCCUUUUCUGCAACAAGUCCCUCUCUUUCUUCGCUUCAGAGUCAAUAUUUUAUCCGAGCUACCCUAAAUGACUCAGCUCAAGUACCAGCAAUAAGGGCAAUAGUCCGGGCCUUUGGGUGGAGAGAAGUUGUGCUUAUUUACGUGGACAAUGUGUAUGGCGAUGGAAUUAUACCUUAUAUGACUGAUGCCUUGCAAGGGAUCGAUGUCCGUGUCACUUACCGUAGUGUAAUUUCUCCAUCAGCCACUGAUGAUCAAAUUGGUGAAGAGCUUUACAAGCUGAUGACAAUGCAAACUAGAGUUUUCAUUGUACACAUGUGUACACCUCUGGGGUCUUACCUUUUUACCAAAGCAGAUGAGAUUGGAAUGAUGGAAGAGGGCUAUGUUUGGAUACUAACUGAUGGGCUAACCGACCUCUUGAGUACUUUGGAUCCCUCAGUCAUUGACUCAAUGCAGGGGGUGUUGGGCGUAAAGCCUCAUGUUCCAAGAACAAAAGAGCUCGAAAAUUUCAGAGUCCGAUGGAAAAGGAAGUUCCGGCUAGAUCAUCCAAAAGAUGAGACCUCUGAGCUGAACAUUUUUGGAUUAUGGGCUUAUGACGCUGCUUCUGCACUAGCCAUGGCUGUUGAGAAAGUUGGGGCAACAAACUUCAGCUUCCAAAAGACUAAUAUUUCCAGCAAUUCGAUGCUUCUUGACACCAUUAGAGUCUCUCAAAUUGGUACAAAUCUUCUCCAGUCACUGUUAAGUACCAAAUUGAAAGGUCUCAGUGGAUAUUUUCAAAUAUUUGAUGGGCAACUUCACUCGACAGCCUUUGAGAUAGUUAAUGUGAUUGGGAAAGGGGAAAGAGGGGUAGGAUUUUCAACUAAGCAACAUUUCUUUUCUUCACUAGGAAGACUUUUCUUUGUUAACCACACGAUGGUUCAAAGACGCAAAAGUCUCCAUGAAUUAAAUUUCCCCCUUGGUUUAAAAGUGACGCGUAUGACCUAUGGCACUAAGAAAUAAUGAGAUGUAGAAUGGAAGGCAUAUAAAAAAAUUAAGGUUAUCUCCAAGAAAAUCUCUGACAUAUAUGGUCCACCUUUCUGGUAUAACAAGAUUUAUGAUUAUUUCACGAAUUCUAGAAUGUAUGGGACCAAGGGGAUGUAUUUUCCUUUUUUGUGCGUACCUUGUUUGAUUUCUGAUAAUAUAGUAGAAAUAGAAUGAAACAUUAGAAUCAUAAAAUUUUAAUUAUUGUGAAAUUCAGCUCUAGAUUUAUUACAAAAUGAGGAAGUUCAAGCCAUCAUAGGACCAGCAUCCUCCAUGCAGGCCAACUUUGUGAUUGGUCUCGGAGACAAGGCUCAUGUGCCCAUCAUUUCAUUUUCCGCAACUAGUCCUUUCCCUUUCUUCGCUCCGGAGUCCAUAUUUUGUCCGAGCCACACUGAAUGACUCAGCUCAAGUACCAGCUAUAAUGGCAAUUGUCCAAGCCUUUGGGCGGAGAGAAGUUGUGCUCAUUUACGUGGACAACGAGUAUGGAAAUGGAGUGAUACCAUAUCUUACUGAUGCCUUGCAAGAGAUUGACACCCGUAUCUCCUAUUGGGAUACCAUAUCUUACUGAUGCCUUGCAAGAGCGUCAUUCAUCCAUUAGCCACUGAUGAUCAAAUCCUCGAAGAGCUUUACAAGUUGAUGACGAUGCCAACCAGAGUUUUCAUUGUACACAUGCUUACACCUCUAGGCUCACGGCUUUUCACCAGAGCGAAUGAGAUUGGAAUGAUGAAAGAAGGUUAUGUUUGGAUUCUAACUGAUGGGUUAACUGAUAUCUUGAGUACUUUGGAUCCAUCUGUCAUUGAUUCAAUGCAAGGAGUGUUGGGCGUGAAGCCUCAUGUUCCAAGAUCGAAAGAGCUUGAAAGUUUUAAAAUCAGAUGGAAAAGGAAAAUCCAACAAGAAUAUCCAAACAAGAAAAUCACUUUAUAUUGAUUUUCUGGAGUUGAUUUUCUUUUUCACACUUAAAUUUUGUUAACAGAGGAGAGAGUUGUCAGCAACUUGGCUCGGUUUGUGGUGAUCAUAUGGCUUUUUGUGGUGCUGAUUCUUACUCAAAGUUACACAGCCAGCUUGACUUCAAUGUUGAGAGUUCAACAGCUCAACCCAACCAUCACCGAUAUAAAUGAGCUGAUAAAGAAAGGGGAGCGUGUAGGUUGCCAACAUGCCUCUUUCGUUCAUGAAUUCUUGAUCAAAUGGAUGAAAUUUGAUGAGUCCAAGCUUGUAAUCUAUGAGUCACCAGAAGAACUGGAUGAAUUAUUUUCAAAAGGUGGAAUUGCUGCUGCAUUUGAUGAAAUCCCUUACAUGAAGACUUUCCUCCCAAAAUAUUGCUCCAAAUACACUGCAGUGGGACCAAGAUACAAGUUUGAUGGGUUUAGAUUUGUAAGUACUCUCUCCUAACACACGUACGUGUAUAAAUUUUCAUACCGAGGUUUCUUAUUUUUUGAUAAUUUUUCAGGUGUUUCCAAAGGGUUCACCCCUUGUAGCUGAUGUUUCAAGGAAAGUCUUAAACGUGACCGAGGGAGCCAAAAUGCUACAAUUUGAGAAGGCGUGGUUUGGGCAAACACCCAGUUGUCCAGAGCUCACCAGCUCAGUUUCUUCAGACAGCAUCGGGCUUAAUAGAUUUUGGGGCCUAUUCCUCAUUGCUGGAGUCGCUUCAUUUGUAGCUCUCAUCACAUGCAUCAUCACAUUCCUUUAUGAAAAUAGAGACGCAUUAAUAAACUUGAAUCCCUCAUCUUCCAUAUGGAGAAAAUUUAAAGCCAUGGUGACACGCUUUGACCACAAAGAUCUUAGGUCCCAUACUUUUAGAAAAAGUGAUCAACUUCAAGACAAGAGGCAUCAAAUCCAUGGAUGCAGCUACACCAACUUCCCUCCAAGUCCAUCGAGCCUUUUGAUCCCAACCGCCAACAAUUUUGCUUUCUUCGGAGAACAAGGAACACCUUCUUCUGGACAUGCUGAUCCAGUCGGUCCAAAUCGGCGGAUGUCUCCACAUAUAUUGUUUGAAUAUGAGCUUGCUAAUAUAAAUCACGAGCAAACGAAGACCGCAUGUAAUUGAAUAACCGAUAGAUCAAUUCGGUUUCCUGUGGUCCUUAUGCCGGUGGCACAAUUACCCACAACCAUGAAUUAAAAAAAAAAAAAAAAUGUUGUUGUGUUAUAGCCAUACGCAUUUCAGUUAAAUGAUUGUUCAAUGCCAACUAUUUGCUAUGAACAAUAAAUUCUGUCAAAUUUACGAAUUUAUUGUUGCCUAACGCAACAGGUCAACUUCUUGUGCUUUACAGGCAAAAAAAAAAAAAAAAAUCAAUAUUUGUGGUUGACAUUGCUUCCCCACACACAACAUCUUGAUCAAUGGAGGGAAUGUAAAGACAUAUAUUCAUUUUCAAGGUUAUUCUUUAGUGCAGUUCUUUUUGUUCCUAUUUGAAAAGUAAAACUAUAAUUAUAAGAUUUUUUGGAGAUCUGUGAUGAUAGUGAAGGACUCUCCUCUCUUGUACCAUUCUUUUAAUACAGUAGAUUUCCUUCUCUGAUUAUGGUUUUUUUGGUCAAGAGUUUUUCAGGUAAAUUUAUAUGUUUUUAUUCUUUUUUUUAUUUUUUAUUUUUAUUUUUUUAUUGUCUGUUCUCAUUAUUGUGUAACAUAAUUCAUUAAUUCUGAAUGAUGUAAUUUUUUGUGAGAAUAAAUAAUUUUUAUUUAAAAAAUAUUUUAAAAAUUAUCAUUUUCAUUCCAAGGGUAGCCACAUAUCAUCAUAAACCUAUUAAAUUCCAUGCGUCCGAAUGCAGAAGAUGAUAGGUCUAUCACCAUGUGAGUACUGCCAACUGCCACCAACACUAGUGAAUAUUAUUGGAAUUCAACUACAUGCUACAGGCGAUGAAUAGCUCCAUGGAGUUCAUCAAGAAAACCUCUCUCUUAUGACUUUACUGGGUCAAAUGCUAGCGCAAGAAGCAAGCUAAAAUGUGUGUUUCCAUGGAAGAACAUUUAUAAGGAUACAUUCUUAUCAUGAUUUCAUCAUUAUAUAUAAGUUACGUUUUCUUAUUUAAUUAGUAUUUUAAAAGAUUCAAUCUUUGACCGCCUUAACUCGCCCAAGUAUUGGUUGGGCUUUGUAUUCACAGCUAUCCAUCUGGGUCUUGUUACAGUGCCUUCGCUUCUAGGCUUCUGAUUCUUGCUUUUCCAAAUUCUAGGACCUAUAAAUGAACUGUAUUCUGCAUUAUUGUGAACCAUCAAGAAUCCGAAACAAACAAACCUCCUCUUUGGGGUGGUUAAUUGCUUACUUGUUUUGGACACAGGUUCAUCUGUAUCUAUCAUAAAAAACUUCUGUUUGAAAAAAGAAUCCUCUCCACUUGGUUUGAAAGAAGAUAAAGGAAAAGGGCAAAUGCUGAAUUUUCCUCCGCUCAAGUUGUAUUUUCUGGUGGGCUUUCAACGUGAGAAUAACAAGAAAAUCAAAAGCUUUAAUUUCUUGUGACCCCUUUAAUUUAUAGUCUCAAGAUGGAUGAAAUGAUAUAAAUAAUCUCCGUCUCAUCCCUUUUUUUCUCCUUUUUGUUUAGGUGUAAUGAGUGAAGCAAAGAACUAAUUUGUAUUUUUUCCCUUAUCAGUCAAUGCUCUUACACCUAAUGACAUACGAGACCCGUUAGAUUCCAAGACCAAGACAUUACUUGCAUCAUAAGUUUUUGGGAGCCAUGCAUAUGCUAAAAUUGAGAGAGAAAGAGAGAGAGAGAAAGAGAGAGAGAACUACUCUUAUUUAAUGCUUAUUAAUUGGGAUUUAGACCCAUUGGAGUCAUAGCAUGUGUGGGUAGAAAAAGACAAAAUUCCGAGAUGACGUCCUUUCACUUAUAAGUUGCUCAGUCUUAUCUUCAAGACAGCGAAUUGUAAGAAAAUAUUUGCCUUACAUUUGGUAUACAAACAUAAUCUAAAUGCAUGCCAAGCACUACCAUCAAACGCUGGUAACUUCGAAAUAUCUUGUAGCUAACUGCCAAAGAUGUGAACUUCUACAUGUUCCAUAAUAUUUCCAACAACACAUGAUUUCAUGGCGAAGCUGAGUAUUGGAAUUCAAAUCAGUAGAAUACAAGAAAAAUAAUAUUGAAUAGUAAAGCUUGAAUUAAUCUCACAACAAGAAAAAAGAGAUAUGGUGACAUUUAUAAUGAGUCACUAUAAACAUAGGGUGUCGCUACAACUUAGCGUCACCUUAUCCACUGACACCAUAGAGGGUACCAAUUGGUGACGUAUUUGGAAGCGACACCAAAGCAGAUAAAUGAUGACACAUUCAGAAGCAACACCAUAUAUUUUUAGUUAUAUUUAAUUUGAUAUAGAGUUGCAUGAGAUAUAUAAGGUGUCAUAUUAAAUGCAUCACCUUUUAGUUAUGGUGUCACGUUAAAUGCAUCACCUUUGAGUUAUGGUGUCACAUCAUUGUAAAUGAUUAUGGAAGAUAUGGUUGUUUUUUAUUAAUUAGCCUAUUGAUUUUUGUAAUGCUUAUUAACAAAUAAGAUCAACUUGUGUAUAUUUUGUCCAUAAAUAUAAUAAUCAUAUCACAUUUUAACUUAUAUUUUCGUAGUGCUUAUGGAUUAACCUGUAAUACAUUACAUCAUCCAAUGAUAUUUGUAUAUCAAAUGUUUACAAAAUGAUAGUACAUCAAACCCUCACUUGUAUAUCAAAUGUUUACAAAAUGAUAGUACAUCAAACCCACCGAAACUAAAAAAGAAAAGUGAAUACAUAUUAAAAUAUGAUUUAGAAAUGUUAAGCAUUCCAACAUUCAUGUAUACCUGCAUUUCAUAUGCAUAAAACCGACUAAUCAUAAAAUGACAAAAGAGUUGCAUCCAAAAACCCAAAAUUCUCAAUACCAAAUAAAGUAACAUUGAUGUCCUAUAAUGUAUGGCAUAAGAGUCACAUCUAAAAACCCAAAAUGUUGUUGUUUCUUUCUCCUUUCUUUUUAUUCUUCAUAAUGUCUUCCCAAGAGUGUAUACCUGCAUUUCAUAGUUUAAUGAGAUUUAGAGUUUUAUUAAAAAUAAAAAUUAAUUGAUGUUAUAAAAAAUAAACAAAUCUAAGUACUAAUGUUUUCUUUUUUCUUUUUCCCAUUUUGAUAUAAAAAUAGUUUGUAAAGAAUAAGUAAUGUUAUACAAUACCAAUGGAAAAUUCAUAUAACAACUAAGGGACUCACCAUGCAUGAUCAUGAUUUAUCAAUAUGAUUCAUGAUUAGUUAUAACACAAAAGAAGUUAAUUCUCCUCUAAUUUCAUCAAAUUCUACCUAAGAAUAUGUUUUUUUUUUUAAUCAUAAAAUUGAAAUCAAAUGAGAACAACAUUAAUAUCAUAAUAAUUGGAAGUAUGAAACUAAGUACAAUUCAUUAAAUGAGUAAAACCUUUAAUACAAUAAUUGUAGAAUCAACAAUUAUCUCUUGAAUCUCAUACAAAGCAGUCACAUUUGAACUCAAAUAAAAACAAUUCAAGAAAAUAAAAAAUAAAGCAAAACUAGAAAAUCAAAAAAUAAAUUUAAAAUUUUAGAAAAUAGUAAUCAUCCACUUAAAGUCUGCACUUUUAAAAUUUAUUUUUUUAUAAUUCAUUGUGCUUUUAAAAAUCAUUUUUAACAUUUAAUUCUUUUUAUAUAUAUUUUUUAUUUCUUGGAAGGAUUUUUUUAAUUUCAAUAUUUUUUUUAAUGUUCAUUUUGUGAAUAUAAAAAUGUUUUCAACUACUAAUAUGAGAGGACAUGAUAUUAUAACAAGCUUGAAGAUUGUGUAUAUAAGACAAAAAACCUAAUUCAUUAUUAAAAAAUGUUAAGAGAAAAAUUAGUAUGAGAAAGAAUUAAAGAACCUUUCAUAAAAAUUAUUAAUUUUUCAGUCAUAACUCCAAUUAAUAUUUAUUUUUUCUAAUUAAAAUAAUUAAUAAAAAAUCCGGAUAUGAAAAAUAUGUUCAAAUAAAAAUAAUAAAAGAUUAAAAACAUCAAAGGAAAAGAUAUUCAAUAUUUUAAAUUUUACUUUUGAUAGUCUUUAGAUCAAUAAAUUAUCAAAUAUCUUUUUCAGAAAAAAGAAAAAUGAAGAAAAUGAAGAGUUUUAUGGAAGGGAUUGGAAAAUUUUUUGUAAUAAAAGGAUUUUAUAGAAAUUUCCUAACCUUGAAAGGAAAAUUUCAUCAUCAAUCUCAAAUUACUCCAAAAUUUGGUCAAUGCAUAUAAAAACAAUAAGAAAAGAAGACAAAAAUAAAACAAAUUUUUAGAAUCCUUUUGAGGGAGAUGACAAUAUUGAGAAUAAUUUUCUCAAAAAUUAUUUUCCAAAUAUUACCAACCAAUAUCUUCAUCACAACAUAUUAUAAUAUUCUUAGAAAAUAAACAAAUUAAAGGAAAUUUCAUAGAAAAUCAAAGGAAAAUUAUAAAAUAUCUUUUUUUUAAAAAAAAAAAAAAAGUUUUAUGGAAGGAAAAUUUAUGUAAUAAAAGGAUUUUAUAGAAAUUUUUUAACCUUGAAAGGGAAAUUUCAUCAUCAAUCUCAAAUUACUCUAAAUUUUGGUGAACGCAUAUAAAAACAAUAACAAAAGAAGGUAAAAAAAAAAAAAAAAAACAUAUUUUAAGAAUUAAAAAAAAUAUAUGAAUAGGACAAGAUGAGAUAUUAACCAUAAUACCAUGUAAAAGAAUUAAAAAAAAAAUCAAAAUGUGAGAUUUGAUCUUUUUUAUAAUCAUAAAAAUUUUCAUUCCUAUUUAAAAUUUAAAAAACAAUUCAUUUACAUUAAUAAAUAGAAAAUAAAAUUAAUUUCUCAUUGUUAAUUCCAAGAUUCUAAACCAAUUCCAACAUGAUAUGGAAACUAUUUCAUUUUUCCUUUUGUGGGAGAUGACAAUAUUGAGAAUAAUUUUCUAAAAAAUUAUUUUUCAAAUAUCACCUAUACAUAUCCUCAUCACAAUAUACUAUAAUAUUCCUAGAAAACAAACAGAAAAUCUCAUCAAAAGAAAUUUCUUGUAAGAUCAAAAGAAAAUUUCAUACUGUAAAAUGUUUAUCCCUCAUUUAUCUUAUUUUCAUUCGUUUUGGGGUUUAUGGAUUUAACAAUGAAACAAAAGAUAUGGUGGAAUGUUAAACCUAAUUUUUACUUUCCUGCAACUCAAUAAAAAAAAACACUAUUUACACAAUCUACAUUACAAAUAUACCAAAUCAAUGAAUGUAAAUCAGUUGUGCUAAUAAAGAUUUUGGCAUUAAUAAAAAAAAAAGAAAAAAAAAAUUAUAGAUCUAAGAGAUUUUGGGUUACCUGAGAGUCCACAAAGUAGAAAAGAGCAGUUGUGUGUGAACUAUGGGUGUGAGAAGAGAGGUAGAAGAAAGUUAUGGUUAUGGGUUAUGGAAUGAGAUUUUUUUGGAUUGUGGGAAUGUGGAAACAAUGAGUUUUUUUUUAUAUACUAUCAUUAUUCUUAAAGUGGGCCCAUUUAGUUAUAAUAUUUUAAAAUUUUUAUUUUAUAUGGUGUCACUUUUUAAAAAUUGACACUAAACUUAAAAUUAAUAUCAUCUAUCCUAAUUAAAAUUUUUUAUAUGAUGUGUCACCUUUAUGAAUUUUAAGUCAUAUGGUGUCAUUAUUUUAAAAGUGACAUCAUAAAUAGUGACACCAUAAAUUAUUUUUGUUGUAGUGUCUUUUGACCCUACAUAGAACAUGUUUGGGAUUGAGCUCUCCACUGAGCUUGCAAUGAUUGAGCCUAUAGCUAUUUUUUAAUUAGGCUUCAUUAGCCAAUGAAAAGGAAAAACAUGUGAUUGUAAUUGAGAGGAGAUUUUAUUAGUGAGUGAAAAAAAAGAAGUGUGCAACCAUAAUCCAAAGCAGAAUGAGAGCUUUUAUUAUUAUAACCUUUUUAUCUUCAUUUAAUUAAUGAAUUUUAAAGUGUUGGUGUAUUUAGUGUAUAUAAAGAUUACAUUAGUAACCAAACUACAUAAAAUUUGUUUUGUUUUCUUUUUCUUAUUUCAGCUCGUAUGUAUUGAGGUAUAAAGACUGAAGGUAGGGUUAUUUUUUAUUAGUAGGAAGAGACUAUCAUAUGGGUUGCCACGAAGCUUCAUACAAAGGUAUUAUUAUAAUUGUUUCUCUCAAUUAAUAAAUGUCAACUGAUGGCUAUGACACCAUCUAAAGAAACCACUAGAAAGGUAAACACAUAGAGAAGAAGCACGACUUGAUUCAUGAGAUAGUUCAAAAGGGUGAUAUAUUAGUUAAGAAGAUACUUUCUACAAAUAACUUGGUGGAUCCCUUCACCUUGCAAUUUGACAAGUCAUAAGAGGUUCGUGCAUAGUAUCUUGCUAGAAAGUUGGAAACUUAGGAGAAAAAUGACCAUUGAAAGUCUGAAAAACAACUCUUGGAUUCUAGGAAUCUACAUGAAUGCUUGAGUGAUUGGAUUAGUGCUUGAGUGUCUCAACCGAUUGAGUGGUAUUGGACUUAAGCACUAAAAACUACAUCCAAAGGCUCGACUAAUAGAGUUGUGCAUCCAACGGCUUGAUCGAUCAAGCUAUGUGUCUAGCAUGACAAAAGUUGCAUCUAACACCCUUGGAAAUUUUUUGGUGCUCAAGCGCUCAUGACGGUUGAUGUUGUAGGGAACCCCAUAUCUCUCCAUUUCCUAUCCAAGAUUAAGUUAGGUGCAUGAAAAUCUUCCUAAGGCUUUCUAAAUCCUAUUCACAACAGAAAAAUAGCAUUUUAAAAACUAAAUAGGAUUUAGAAUGUGCAACAAAAAAAAUGAUACCUAAGAUUUAGACGUUCCCAAAUAUGUAAGAAAUAAACUUGAAUCCAAAGGUUUCUAAAUAUUAAAAUUUAAUUUCGCUUUUGAAAAUUUAACUAAAAUAUUUUUUAAAGUGAUUGAUUCAAUUUUUAUAUUUAAAUAGUUGAAUGUACAAGGUUUCUACAUUUUUGUUAUGAAAGUCAUUUUAUUAUAUAAAAUUAAUCAUCAAAUUUAGAUUUGUCUUAGAUAAUUAUAAUGCAGAAAAUGCUAUUAAUCUUUACUUAUUCCAUAAUUUAUUUUUCCUCAUAUUGUUACGGAAUAAAUUAGUGAAUGCCAAUAAUUCUUUUUUGUACUAAUAAUGUAAGUUAAUUAAGUUACAAAAUAUUAUAAGAACAUAUUUGCCUCAACAAAUAUGAUAAUUAGAAGCUUUUUUUUUUUUUUUUGCAAUAAUAUAAAAUUUGGGCCCAAAAAUUAUAAUAACAGUUUAUUGGCUAGAAAGAUAUAUCCUGCUUAGAAGUGAUUUUGAUUUUUUUUUUUAUUUACUACAAAUAUAUGUGAUCCAUCCAUUUGCUAUGAACAAUAAUUCAUCACUGAAAAAUUGUUUUGCUGUGAAAUAAAAUGUUAUUGAAAAAAGCCAUUUCUUAUCAUAAAAAUAUUUUCUUAGCUAAAAGCGUUACGGAAAAUGGAGAAAUUUCUUGUAAUGAAUUUUCCAAAAGCUUGCCUGAUCAGUUUAAUCCAAGAUCGGAUUGAAAAGGAUAAUCGAAGUGGAACUGAAUGUACCUUCCGGUUCAUGGCAGGACUAGGACAGGGCGGUCCGGUUUUCUAACCAUCCAGAUAUGACGCAUAAUAUUGUUUUAGAAUCCAUAUCAGUCAACGGCUCCAACAUUUUUUACAGGACAUAGAUGACUGCCUUAAAUUCCGUCAAAUUCACGAAUUUAUUUCUCCCUAACACAAUGGGUUAUCUGCAUCCAAAAAAAUCAAUAUUUUUAAAGAUUGUCCUCACACUAGCUAUGUCACGACCCAAAUUCUGGGCGACCCAAAAUUUGACCCGUUACCCAAAGUCAAAGGUUUGACCCUAAGGGUUCCUCCUAUUCCACGUUGGCAGUCAACCAAAACACUCUGGAUUAUUUUUUUUUUUUUAUACAUCCCACUAGAAUUCUCAUAAACCACAAUAUCUCAAAACUACUCAAAACAAUAAGAUUAAAUAAAUAUUCAUUAUAGUCCAAAAUAAAAGUUCACAAUUAACAACUUAAUCAAAAUAAAGCUUCAUAACAAAUCCAUGAAUCAUAAUCACUAAAACAAAUCCCAAAAUCCAAAAAAAAAAAAAAAAAAACACAAUAACAGAAAAUGUCACGCUCCACUAGGCCGCUCCAGGAGCAUCUUGAAGUCCUCCCUGCCCUACCUGUGGAUCCUCAGGAGAGAUAUCUGCAUCUAAAAAGGUGUAACAAGGAAGGGAUGAGCAUUUCCACAUUGCUCAGUAUGGUGCCUAACACCCAAGGGGUUAAGGGGAUUAUUAAGUUUCAAAGAAUACGAAAAGAACACUUCAACACCACAGGAACAAUUCAACAAUAUCAAUCAAACCACAUAGUUUAAUAUAUAAUUUUAUACACAAUUUCACAAUAUUCAACAAUUACAUGAAUGCACAUGAACGUGUGACACACAGUCAUACAAUGCACUAUUGUUCUCGGGUUUUCACCGAAGGAUACGCGUCCGCACCCAAAUACACUCCCCAUUCGGAGUCUUCCCGGGGUAACUUUUGGGUCUUUCACCCUAGGAAUCUCUCUCCCUUCUUAAUUCGCCCCACACGGCUUUCACUUCUCAUCACUAUUUUUUUUUUUUCCAUUUCAUACACUUUUCACAAUCUUCAUAAUUUUAUUUAUUUUCUACAUAACCAUGAUGCAAAUGAAUGCCACAAACUCCAACAUUCCUCAAUAAUUUCAACAAUUCCAACAUUCCUCAAUAAUUCCAAUAAAAUAAUUUCACACAUUAAAAUUUCUGAUAAUAUCCCAAAUAAAUAUUCAAAAAUUUGCAUAUCAAAAAUCUUGAAAUUUUACCACACUUACGGAAUUUUUCAACCACUAUAAUAAUUUCUAAUAUUCGAAAUCAACUAACUUUCUAUCAUAAAAAUUCCAAAAAUUUUCUAACUAAUGCUUAAAAAUUCACAAAUCACUAUAUUUGAAAUUUAACCCUAAUUUUGGAAUUUUUCAACCCUUCCAAUAAUUUUUUUUUCAUUUUAAAACAAUUAAUUAUCAAUCAAAAUCAAUUUCCUGCAAUUACAAAAAUUCCAAACAAAUUCCAAAUAUUCUGGAAAAAUUCAUACAACCCCCAUAAUUCCUAAUUAACUCAUAUUGACAAUAUUUACAAUUUUUUUUCAAGGGAAAAACAUAAAAAUUUAAGUUUUAGGGUUAGGGUCCCCUACCUCGGAUCUGAAAAUUUGGCUGUAAAAAACGAAAUCAGCCACCGCAAGCUUGUUCUUCUAGUCGAAUAGAGUACUUCCUUCGAAUUUGAGCCGAAACGGAGAUCGUUUGGCCGUCCAAACGGUCGGUCAAAGAUCCGACGAGUGCCCUAAUUUAUUCACAGUAACCUUUCUCUCUCUCUCUUCCCACGCGUGCUGCACUUCUCCCCUUUUCCUUUUUUUUUUUUUUUUUAUUAAAAAAAAAACAGCCCACUUCACAUGGCUUUUAAAAGCCACCGCCACUUAAGCCCAUAUCCAAACCCUUUUUUUUUUAAACAGCCCAUUACCUUAACAACCCAUAUUCAAAACCCAUUGAAUAUAUUUAUUUUAUUUCUUUUAUUUUCUUUUCUUUAUUCUAAUUGUUUUAUUUGAUUUCCAAUUCAUUUUUUUUUUCAUUUUUUAACACACAAUUUAUUUAUUAACACCAAACUAAAACUAAUUUUUCUCAAUUUUAUUAUUCAUCAAUUUAAUUUAAUUUUUCUUAAUUAAUUCUAAUUAAUCUUAAUUUAUUUAUUUUUCAUUUUCGUUUUCGUUUUUCGUUUCCGGAAAUUUCCAAUUUCUAAAAUCCUAAGAAAUUUUCUACUCUAAGGUUGACAUGACAUAAAAUUUCAGCUCGUUUAAUUGACCGACACAAUAAAACGAAAUUCACCUAUUCGAAAUUGACACGUGUUCUCCAAACACUUUUCUUUUUGACUUUUCAACCAUCACACAAAAUAAGACUUUUCAAACUAAAAAUACUAACGUGACAUAAAAUACCCGAUCAUUACAAGCCACAUGGUCUGCUUCUCCACAGACAAGAUCUUUGCCAAUGGAUCGAAUGUAAGGACAGAAUUCAUUUUCAUGGUUAUUCUUUAGUGCAGAUAAUUCAUUAAUUCUGAAUGAUGUAAUUUUUUGUGAGAAUAAAUAUUUUUUAUUUUAAAAGUUGUCAUUUUCAUUCGAAGGGCAGCCACAUAUCAUCAUAAACCUAUUAAAUUCCAUGCGCGCGAGUGUAAAAGAUGAUAAGUUCAUCACCAUGUCAAUACAGUACUGCCAACUGCCACCUAACACACGGUUGUCAUAGCAGCACUAGUGAAUAUUGGAAUUCAACUAUAGGCUACAGCCGAUGAAUAGUUCCAUGGAGUUCAUCAAGAAAACCUCUCUCUUAUGACUUUACUGGGUCAAAUGCUAGCGCAAGAAGCAAGCUAAAAUGUGUGUUUCCAUGGAAGAACAUUUAUAAGGAUACAUUCUUAUCAUGAUUUCAUCAUUAUAUAUAAGUUACGUUUUCUUAUUUAAUUAGUAUUUUAAAAGAUUCAAUCUUUGACCGCCUUAACUCGCCCAAGUAUUGGUUGGGCUUUGUAUUCACAGCUAUCCAUCUGGGUCUUGUUACAGUGCCUUCGCUUCUAGGCUUCUAAUUCUUACAUUUUCAAAUUCUAGACGCUAUAAAUGAACUGGAUUCUGCAUUACUGGGAAUCACCAAGCUUUUCAAAAGUAGUUCAAAGAUGAGAAAGGACCUUGCCCAACUGAGGUUCUCCCUCUUUUUUCUCUCCCUAGCUAUGGCGACUCUUUAUAGAAAUGGCUAUGGCGCAGAACACAACAAUCCCAGUUAAUGUGAGAGUGGUCCUUGAGUUUGAUACACCGGUUGGAAAGAUGGGUCUAAGCUGCAUCCCCAUGGCCCUCUCAGAUUUCUAUGCCUCCCAUGGUAACUACAAGACUAGGCUCGUUCUGAAGACCAGAGACUCCAAAAGAGAUGUUGGUGCAGCUGCAGCAGGUACUCUAUCUCUGUUCUUCUCGCUCUCUCACAGUAGUAAUUAACUUUUAUUAAGUGUUGACCUAUUCUAUGAGGGUUUCUUCAUAUAAAUAUACCUUAUCAUGUUAAAACAAACACACACCUUAAAUUGUUUUUAUCGUUAUUCUUCUGUGUAAAUAUAAAACUCUUAAGAGUCUUAACUCUUAUUUGAAGUUGAAUCAUGGUGUUGACCGCAUCCCUCAAAAUGUUGAAGAGUUCACUAAGGGUUAUGACGUACUGUAUCAUGGAUGUGAAGAUGAUGUAGGUGUUGAUCAUUGCAAAGACUUUUGGGAGAAGCAUCUAGGCAAAUCCAUGUACUUCUUUUAGAAUUAAUAGAUUUGUUCUAUAAUCAAUUAAAUGCAUGAAUUUUACAUUUGUAGAGUUUCUAGUAGAUUCUAUAUAUGGUUUUCCUUGUACAUCACAUGGGUAUGUAUGAUUGAAUUUUAUUUUGAUAUUUGAUUAUUACAUAUUCAUUACAAAAAUUUAUAAAUAAGAAAAGAAAAAUAAAAAUUUUGGGUUUAAAACUUAAGAUUUCUUAUUUACCUCUCUCUAAGUAGUUUCAAGAAUCAAGAUAUAUAAGAAGUUUCAAAUUACAUUAAUGCAAUUCACUAAUUCUAAUGUGAAGAAGAUAGUCAAGUAUAAGAAGUGACAUUGUAUGUUUUUUAAUUUGGUUUCAUCUCUAAAAUCAUCUAUUAAUUAAACAAACAGAACUCAACGUGACAAAGUAUAAAAUAAUAUUUAAUGUAGACUUUGCUUAAUCUGUUGAUUAAAAGUAAACUUCCAUGCAACUUUCAAAUGGUAGAAUUCACUUAAUUUGGGUUAAGGAGGUCAUUGUCUACAAAUGCAAGUAUUACUGGUCACAUGUCCGUAUGUUCUCUCUUUUAAUACUUUUUUCUUUUGAAAUAGAAAUACUUCCGAUAAUUGCUAUUAUUUUAACUUCAUUUUGGCAUUUGAAUGAUACAAGUAGCUAGCUUCUUAGGUACUAGAGGUAACAAUUCCAUAUCAGCAAUUACAACUUAUUAAUGAAAUUCACAUGAAAAAAAAUAAAAAAUAAAACAUAAAAAAUAAUGAGACAAAAGGGAAAAAAAAAAAAAAUUUAAUGCUAAGUGAUUGUUUUUCAACCUCUUUAGUGUCCUUUUGCUAUCAUUAAUUUAGGGUAUAUACCAACAAAUUUUUGAGUUAAUUUAAACAUAGAAAGCUCUUUUAGUUUUCUCAAAAUAUCUUAUAUCAUCUAUACGCGGAGGUUAUGAUCAAAAUUUUGUUAAGGAAGGGGAGGGAUACCUUAGUUAUCAUUUAGCAGAUUAAUUAAUUUUAGACAUUAGUUAUGAUAAAUAAUCAAAUUAACUACCAAAGAAUUGGUUAAAAAAAAUGUUUCAAAUUAGAUUAAAAAUUGUAUGAAAAGUGACUCAUGCCCAAUUGGUGUCUCAGCUGAUUUGUGUUCAGCUGGUGCUCCUUGACUGAGGAAGUGAUCAACAAAAUUUAUACCUAUAACACCAUACACUAGGGUAGCAAAUACAAAGCUACUAUAGUAUAGUGGCUCUAAGAUCGUUCACUGGGAAUGAUUAACAAGCAAUCAAGGAUACCAAUUCCAAGUGAAUUGGUCUUGUUUCAUUUCACGGUUAGCUUAAGGAAUAAAACACAAAAUUUGUUUGGUAAAGGUUGAGACUUAAACUAACUAACUUAACAGAAGUUUGGAAUAAUUUAGGAAGAAAAGCAUUCCUUGGAGAUUUAGGUUCACCGGGGUGGUUCCUCAUGCAAAAGACAUAGCUCCGGUCAGAUGGUUCAUUUCCUCGCAUUAGAGAUUCAACUUAGAGUCAAUUCUCUAACCGGUGAUGUAUAGAGACUCCUUCAAUUAGAUUUCACUUUAAUUCUCUCACUGAUGCAACUUGCAAUGGUUCAUGCCUCUCACGAGCACUUACCAUUCAAGGUGAUCUUUAACCUUGGACUUCCCUUCACAAACUCGCAAGAGAUAACUAAUGGAUGUCUCCUAGGAGUCCAAAAGCUUACCAAGUGUUGGUAAUUCUAGAAAAUCCUACCUUGAAGUCACCUACCAGAGGCUCGCAAGGGGUAAACUAGUGCAUUUCCACGGUUGGAAAUCACUUGCCUUACCAAGUGUUGGCCCAGGUGACUCUAAGGUGUUUUAAGUUAACUAAAAACAUUGAAAUCACUAAAGGAUUUCACUUCCUCUUCAUUACUAGCUAAAACCACAAAGCUUUGCAUUCUUGCACUUGGAACCUUCCCCGGCAACCUUAGCUCCAAGGAAUUGGAGGUUUAGUUACUCAUUCUCUGGGGAAAACUCCUUAGAGAAUUCAUAACUUAGAAAUAAAAUUAAAAUACAAAGUGAGAAGGUAAGGCAGUAAAAAGAAAAAUAGACUUUACUUGCUUACCAAAUGGUUAAAGAAGGAACUCCUCCUUGAGAACAGGCUCCCGAGAGGUAUAUAUAUCAAACCAAUAUAAAACUAAUUUUUACAAAGAUAUUUGGUCUUUUUACUAACUUCAAAACUAAGGAAUCAUGUAAUUGGUCGUUUACAAGGAGUAUUUUGGGAUUUAGACAACAAAAAUCUAAUGGAAAAUAUCUCCCAAUGUCGGUAGCAAGCUUCGGGAGGCUUCAGGAGCCAUUUCGCAGGUAAAAAAUGAGGUCUGCGAAAUUUCGCAGACACCCAAGAGGGCUGCGAAAUUAUUUCGCAACACCGAGCUAUCUUCACUAGGCUGCAAAGUUGGCUUCCAUCUUGAGGUUUCCAGCUCCCUUCUCGCGGCAUGGUUCGUGAAUCGUCAGAAGGAGAAACACCUUACUGUACAAAAGUGCUGCGAAAUUCUCGCAACAAAUGGCUGAUUGCGUAACACUUUGGAGUGAUCUGCUUGUAAUGGCUGCAACUUCUUCGUUUCAACUCCGAAUCGCGCACCGUUUGAAGCAUUGGAUUGUUGACUUCCUGAGCUUUGAAAUGGUAUAUAGCAUGAAUCAUUUGGACUUCAGAAAGUGCUCCAAAAGUGGCUGCUACGACUGUCAUCAAGAAUAGGCUUCAUGGCAGAUUCUCUUUGCUUUUUCUCCUUGCAAUCCGGAAUCACUCUUGGCAAUUGAAUUCUAAGCUUUGCCCAAGAUUCCUCAUAGCUCUCCUCAUUCUUGACUUGCUUUGGUGAUCAAAAUACUAACAAAAACACCAAAACUUACACAAAGUGAUCAAAAUUGCUUUAAAGGAUCCUUAACAUGCCAAUUGAGUUAAAAGACCUAAACUACUACUCAAAAGUGUUUAAAAGGAUUAAUUAUAGGCUAUCAAAUAGCACUUUUUGAGUAGUAAUCACUCCCCCCAACCGACAUAUUGCUAGUCCCUUAGCAAUAUAGGAGAGAAAAUUAAAAAUAAAUAGCAAACUAAUUUAAAAUUUACAACAUCAUGCUGAAAGGAAAAUAAUUCUCAAGUGGCAUGAUGAUCUAUUUCUCACAUGAAUCAUUAAAGAAAUACAAACCCAAAUCUCAACAAGAGUGUGGACCUCGCAUUUCGGCUCAUGCUCGAAUGCGUUUCCCACUCGAUGGCGAGCUCGAUUUUUAUUUAAAAAAUUGAUUUUUAUUGAUUAUUUGAAAAUGACUUGGAGUCGCCACUUAUUUUUGUUUUAUUUUUAAAGGGUAAACAAAAUAAGAAAGAAAAACCCUAAGUGUGACUCCUUAUUUUGGAAAAGGCGGUCUGUGAAAAACCGGAUCGGGUUCGGGGGUCAGGUUACUUAUCGGGAAGGUACGGUAAAAACCGUAGCACCCCUUUAAGUCCCUAAAGUCGGGUCUCUACUAAAUAAAGUGAAGCUGACGUGGCAAUCAAUGAGAAAAUCAAUGAAUACUCGAAUCAAUCAUGCACAUAUGAGAGUCAGAAAAUGCGUAUAGGCUAACCAGAGUGGGAAUGAGUGUGUACCUGAGCAGCGAGCCACUAUGCGCUAUUAAGAGAGAGGGUUAGUGCAAAAUAAAGAGCAUAAACAUAGCUCACAUGUCACAAAAUCGAGUACAAAAUCAUCAAAGGCACACAUGGCACUUCACUCAAAAUUCAUUUUUAUUUUAAAGAAAAAUUAUUUGAUGUUGGGCCCCCACCAAAGCCCAAUUCAUUUCUGUAUGAAUUAAUCCCAUGAAUUUCCAUCAUUCGGAAUUACGGGAAUAAAUUCGUACUUAUUUUAAAACAUUUUAAAAUCAGGGAAGUCUUGAAAGUGCAUGCCGAAGAGAGGUGGCAGCAAAUUGAAAAUGAGACUUUGAAAUCUAAAGAGUCCCUAAAGAUGAAGAGGAAAAGAGUUGAAAUUUAUUUGAAGAUUGAAAUGUAAAAAGUUAUUUCCCAAAACCAAGAAUGGUGAAGAAGAGAGAAAUAAAGGGAAGUGACUCGUGGCCACUAAAAUUGGCAUGCCAAGGGCGGCCAUGCAAUUGGAUGUACGUAGGAGUGGGCCCAGCAUGCAAGUGAGAAUUGCCAUGCGGAUAAGGAUCCAGAUCAUCUGUCACUGCAAUAAUGAGGCAAGGCAUCUCAUAGCUAGCAUUUUCACCCUGACUAGCAACUCCCACAUGCAACUCAGCUGCUCUCUUCCACAAGGACCCAUCAGAACUGCUAGGAUUGAGAGUGGCAGAGGAAAAUAGGGCCUUUUUAGAGGGAUUCUCUCGUCUGGAGGGCAACUUCAGAAAAGGGCUUCUUGAUGCAACUGCACAGGAGACAGGGUGCUCGGAAUAGGUAAAUCCAUGAGAAAAAAAACACCAAUUUUGUUGCUUUGAGAGUCUAUAACAUCUGAAAUUUCAGGGCUCACAAGAACAACUCCAAUUGGCAUAUAUGCAGAAGACAGAGCCUUUGCCAUGGAGACAAGGUCUGGUUUCAUGCCAUAUUUGUCACAUCCAAACAUUGUUCCAAGCCUUCCAAAUGCACAAAUUACCUCAUCCGCAAUAAAGAGAAUAUCAUAUUUUUUUCAAGAUAGGUUGGAUCUUAUCAAAAUAAGUUGCAGGUGGAGGAAUCACACCUCCUGUUCCCAUGACAGGCUCUGCAAUGAAUGCGGCAAUUGUCUCUGGUCCCUCUUUCAGGAUAAGAUUCUCUAAAUUAUUUGCUAAUCUGGUUGAGAACUCCUCUUCUGACUCACCUGGAAGAUGAUAGCGCCAGUAAUGAGGACAAUCAGUGUGUAGUACAAAUGGAGCAGGCAUAUCAAAUUUUUGAUGCAAUGCUGGAAGUCUGGGCAAUAAUUUUCUUGUCAAUGUCCAGGAUAUUUCUGAAAGCUGAAAGGUCAACUUCAAAAUGCCGAGCCUGCUUAUAGUCACCAUUUCUCAUUCCAACUGCAACCCAUGGUUUCCAGGCUGUGUAGACAAGGCCAUCCCUUGAUGGGUUCCUCUCUUGGGGACGUUUGCAAAGGCUUUUCAAUAGAACAAUUAAUUCAGCAGCAGCAGCCAUAGGAUCCGAGCGCAUGGACAUUGGGACCAUUCCAGCAUGACCUUGUGAACCUCUCACUGUUACCUUUAGCCGUGUCUAUCCUGCUAUGCCUUUCACCACAGCUAGAGGAAGACCGAUCCCUUCUAGUACAGGUCCUUGUUCAACGUAAACCUCAUUCUAACCCCAAACAAAUUUUGGGUCAUACUUCAGUUGAGACAAUGCUACUUCUAGCUUCUAUGGUGUUAUCCAUAAGAGCAUUUUGCAUUCUUGUCAGAUAUCUGCAAGGCUGAAGCUGGUAAAACUCUAGCUACAGCUGCACCUCCUGAAAAAGUGGACUGAAACCUAACUCCCUCCUCAUCACCAAAUGCAAUCACCUCAAUUGGGAGUCUCAACUUCUGUAACUUGGCAGCGAUAGUCAAAACCUGGAUUCAUUCUUUCAACUAAACCGUAUACAUGACCCAUAACCCUGUGGCCCUCCAAGAACAGCCUUCAAUGUCCCUUGCUUAGCUCACUUCUGAAGAAAAAAUUAUCCCAUGGUGUAUCAACACUGUUCAGGUUAGCUUCUCAAUAGUGGGGUUUGAGUUCUGCUACGUUAGCCAACGCACCAAUGGUAUCAUCUUCCCUAGUUUGAGGGAUUCUACUGCAAGGCUUGAGGAUGUCACCAUAUUGGAUGACUGUAGCAAUAUCCGGGGCGUGAUUAUGACUGAUCUGACUGACAUGAGAAGGCCAUUAAUCCCAUCAAUGUUGACUUGAGAUGUCCAACCCUCAGUUUCCUGAACUUUGGAGCAGCUCAAUUACCUGGAACCCUGCAUGGCCAUGCAUGCAUCCGGUGAGGAAAUGGGAAGGAGGAAUGGGUGAAGGAAGUUAUGAGAAAAUGAGCGAGAGGGAUGUUGGGAGAAAUGGGUUUAAUGGGUAUGGGAAGGGUUGUGGUGUAGAGAGAGGGAAAACAGGUUUGGGGGUGUUAGGAAAUAGAAGUAUGGGUACGGAGAUGUGGAGCCAUGCAUGACUGAACGGGUUGCCUAUUCCCAGUUUUUCUUUUCCACAGAUUUACAGCAUUUCCUUGAGUAAGUUUCCUCUGUAACAUCCCAUGACCUUUUCCCAUUCAUUAUAAAGCAUGCGCGGGACCCAUCGAGAGAAACACCCAUUCAUCAUUGUUGUUUCAUUAUGGUCCCUCACUGUAUGUAACUAGAACCUUCUGUAGCUAUUAUGGAAUUAUCACCACUAUUACAAGAGGAUGAAACCCAAGCAACGUCACCUGAGGAGUGCUCCACACUUUCUGUAAUCACUUCAAUAAGGUUUCAGUCAACAGUCAACUUGUUCAAGGUCAAUGUUCCUGUCUUGUCAUUGCAGAGAGCAUCCAUGCAUGCCAUUUCCUCAAUGUCCAUCAUUCUUUUAGUGAUUGUAUCCUGCUAAAAGACUUUCUUCGAGCACAAGAGUUCUCAUCACAAAAACGCCCAAAAAGGAUAUUAGGGCACUAAUGGGGUAUGUACCCACCACGACCUGGGUUUAGCAUAAGGUCCAGUAUAACUGCCUCCUCUGUAACAUGCCCAGAAACUGAGAGAUUCCCAAGGCGAUGAACUCUUCAAGCUUGACUUUGAGGAUUCGAAUUUGAAAAUACAUCUAGAGGGGGUGGCACAACAAUCUCCCAUGGGGUAGCAUGUAGUUUCAAUGCGUAUGAAGUUUGAAUCAUGACGAAGAUCGCAGUCUUCCAAGAAGGACUUCUUGAUUCGAUUUCCUGAACUACAACCCAUUUUGGUGAUCACCCUGCUCAACUCCAGCAGUAUAGAUGCAUGAACCAUCAGCAGUCAAGAGGCAAUACUAAUGCCCAGGUAUGGCAGUCACCAAUUCUGAGUAGAAUAAUUCAACAACUCCCUGAGCAGUGAGUCAAUAAUGACCCAGACUCAGAAUAAAUGUCCACAUGAAGAACAGGUACUGCUUCAUGCAAUUCAGAUUUGACCUUUUGGACCACAUGGUGAGGGUCAUUUGUCUUUUUCCAGUCCAUUGUGCAGCACAAUCUCCUUAAGAGCCUCACUGUCAUUGGUAUGGUGAUUACAUUCCAGAUUCAGCAGAAAGGGUGCAUCUAUAGACACAGUAAAGGCAUCGGCCAAAGCAUUCACAAUAUACGCAUUCUCACGAGGAUUUAGCUCAAGUUUCUUUCCUCUGGACGUCCAAUGCGAUCUACAUAGCUUUUCAGGCACUCAGAAAUACUCAACUGUAUGGAAAGUGACCCUCAUGAGGCUCUCUCAGAGACACCCCACCUCCAAACCAUGAUAGCCAAUCCCAAAUGAGAUAUUUAACACCACAACCACAGCAAAAUCAAAGGAAUGAAAACAAAGGCAGAGACCAGAGUGAAAAUUGAGAGAAUGAUGGACUGGGAAUCAGGUAAAGCAUGAAUGUAUAAAGCCUCAUUUCAGGUGGCAUCCAUGGGCUCAUACAGGUGAGGAGAUCUUAAGCUAGACUUACAGAGUGUAUGAAAAACAGAGUCCCACUAGCUCCAAACCAAACCACAAGAAAUGACAGUAAGAUCAACAGCAACAGAGCAUAAGAAAGGAUCCAAAAACCAAUAAAUUCAGCAUGUAAUCCAUAUUAUCCAACUCAAAUUGGCGAGCAAUGUAGAGUAAAUCAAAAUGGGAAAGAGAUGAGAAAUAUAUGAAUCAAAGUAAGCAAGAAACUCACCUCAAACUUACCUGCAACUACUCUCUUCCUCUGUUAUCUCCUUUUUUAAGCUCUUGCUCUCUGUUUUGCUUCUCAAGGUACUCCCAAAAAGCUCCUCUCAGCAACCAGAAAACACAUUACCCUCUCGCAUUACCUCACUCUUUCUCCCUCUCUCAAAAUAUCUCUCUCCAAAGUGUCUCUCUCAAGUGUUUCCCUCUCUCAGAGCUUCCUCAUCCUAAAAAAAAAUCCGCUCCCCUGCUCUGAGGUCAUCCCAAGAAGAACCUCCACCAAAAAUAUCUCCCCGGAAAAACCCCCCCGGAAUCUCUCUUUUUCUCACCCUUCCCUCUAUUCACCUCUGCUCUCUUUUGAAAAGCACUUUCCUCCUCUCGAAAAUCGCAACCCCCUUUAAAAAAAAAAUCUCUCAUGGCAGCCCCCCAGACCCCCUCCUGCAGCUGGCCUGCUACCCAAAAUAUCUCCUAACCAACUCUGAAAAGCACCCCCUGCCAGAGACGCCCCUCUCACAGCAACGUACCUCCUCUGCAUAUCCUCCUCCAGGUGUCAACCUCUGAUUAGUCCAUCGAUUCCACUAUUUUGAUCCCAUAUUGACUAAUCCGGGAGUGACACGUGGCCAUGCAAGAUGGUGACACUUGUCAAGCAUCAGCUGCAAGAAUGACUCCCAAAAUGGGGGUCUACAAAGAGUCAUAACAAACUAUGCUAAACACUGUCAAUCAAGGGAGUGCAUUAUGCAAACUGAAGUUUUAAAAUCAUUUCACUUUCUAAGAACUAAACUUCAAUCUUCCACAAAAAUCUAUGUGUAUUGGCUCCUUAGCUUCCGAGAAUAAUAUGCUAAACUAGUCUCACCCCCCAACCUAUCUCUUUUCAACACUUUAGCAAACUGACCAAAAUCAAUAAGAAAAGAACACACUUUCAUCUUUUUUUUUUUUUUUUUUUUUUUUUUUUGCUUUAUGGGGUACUCUUUCUGACUUGUCCAUGUAAUGGGGGUCCAUCGAUGACUCCCAACCAAUUAAGGUUUAGGGCACCAAGUUUUAAGGAUCUUUCAACCACUAACUCCUCGGAUUUUUCCCCGGACUUUUAAGAAUGAAUUUCUAAUACCCAAGCAUCUACCAUAUGCUAACUCUACCUAUUCACCCUUGUAACGAGCAUUGAGGUCGGUGUCUCCCAUCCAAUUAAGGCUUAGGGCACCAGGCUUUAAAGGCUUUCACCAUAUGCCCCUCAGACCUUGCUCGGGUUUCAAGGCAAGCAAACAACUUUCUUUAUUUCAAAGGCUCAUUGGCCUUUUGCAGGGUGUUUCAAUUUUUAUCAAAUGAGGUCAAAUAUACCAAGUCCCAAAAUUAUCCUAAGUCAAGAGGGAAAUAGCUUUUCAUCUUAUAAUAGGAAACUAAUGUGCACAGUGUGUGGAUAGCUUAAAGUGGAAGAACUAAAUUCAAUUUCAGUAGAAGUUUCAACAAUUGAACCACUUUAGUAAGCAUAAUCCAUACUCUAAGUUAAGUGAAAAACAACAGUUCAAUUUCUCUUGGUUUAAUUUGAAAAUUUUUCCUCAAAAUUCAUGGAGAAUAGAGUAACAAGAGUAAAAAGUAAAAACUACAACUAAUUAACCAAUAUAAUUACAAUACCAAAAAGAUUUAACAUACUUCCUUCCUCAUACCCCCCAACCGAACUGAGCAUUGUCCUCAAUGUGAUUUGAGUGACUGUAAUAAAAGGGAGGAAGUGGUACCUUCUUGCUGAUAUCAAAUUCGAAUAUUGAUUGGGGAAAACCACAUGUUUCAAAAAGAAUAGAAUAUGUGAGAAAAGGAAAUAAGGAGAACUUAAUGCUAACUUUUAACAAGAAAAAAUUCAACUUGUAUUACUUUGAGUUCAUUUGAUUACAAUGCUAAAGACAAGUAACACAAGGAAUCCCAUAUAUAGUACCAAAAUACUGGGAUUUCUUUUCAACAAAAAAAAAAACAAACAUGCAUAAAAACAUAAACAGCAAAUAUAUAUAAUGUCUGAUGAAUGGGGUGGUGGUGCUAGGCAGAAGGAUCUGCCUCCUCUGUAGGUGGAUCAGUUGGGGCUUCUGGCUCUGGAGGAUGAGAAAUGGAGGGCUCUACAGCUUGUGGCAGAUCGAAAUGGACUUGAAGCUGCCUUAGGAUGGCAGCUUGUUGAGCCUGAGAGGCUAACAUCUGCUCCUGGCAUGCUUUGAUGGCUGCCAACUCCUGAGCAAGAUUGCUCUGGGAAGCUGUAAGAGUCUCCAAUGCACGGCACAGCUCUCGAUAUUCGGAUAUAGGGAUGGCCAUCCUCGGCUUAGCUGAUGUGGAUGGCUGUGAUGGGGCAGGUGCAGCUGGUGAAGCUCGAGGGAUGGCAGGAGUAGCAAGUGUUAUACCUUCAGGUGCAUGUCUUGGGGAGGCUCUCCUUGCUGCUGGCUGAGGCUGCCCAGGCUGAUCAAUUUUGUAGGCCGUCAUAUUAUUCCAUUUAUCAAGAGUAAAUGGCUCACGACAUAUUCUCUUUUUCUUCAGCUGAGGCUCAGCUGGGUAUCCUAGUUGUUCCAAAAUUUGGCAUAGCAGCCGUGGGAAGAGGAGUGGAAUGCAAUCUGCUCUUUGAAGCUUCUUCUUGUGAACCUUCUCCUCAAAGUAGAGAAGGGCUGCCAUGAUCAGAUGAUGAGGCCCAAAGAAGAAUCCUUCUGACAUUUUGUACAGGGCUUCCAGGAGAACUCCCCUUCUCUGGGUCCAAUGCUGCAGGGGAUAGAUAUUAUGCCUCAAAAAGGCAUCAAUCAAAAACAUAACUGGAGGUAGCUCCCCCCUCAGCAAAUGUGAUCGAUUUGCAACUCCUCUAGUUAGGGUGCGAACCAUCUCUAGCUCAGUAGGAUUUGCCCAAGCUUUAAAAUUGUUGAAUUGGGUUGGCUCAAAAGGAAUUUGCAGGGCUUCUGCAAUAUGUCUUGCUCCCAAAAUACCAUGUCUCCCAUCAAUUGUGAAAUGGAUCAGAGUUGGAUUUCUUACCUCUUUGGUUGUCAUGGACUGGUAGAAAUCCGUGGCUAUCCGAGGAUAGAAAAAGUCCCUUGGAGCUAGCAGAUGCUCCAUAUGAUAUCUCCUCAGCAGCUGGAAUGAUUGGGCAAGCUCUGGCCUCACUCUGAAUGCUGCUAAAUCGAAGCAAAGCUCAUAAUGGAAUGCCCGUGUUCGACAGUCCAGGUUCCCUUCGAUUGGGGGCUGAGGAAGCAUUGGCCUUCAGAUUACUUCUUCCAGAGGUGCUUCAGCUGCAAUUUGGGGCUUUGGAAUUGGCGCUUGAGGCUCCUGAGCUUUUUCUUGGGGUGCCGGAGAUGGUAUCGGCGAUGGAAUUGGCAGGGGACUCGGUGAUGGAACCGGUGACGGCACUGGAGUUUGAACCGGUGAAGGAUUUGGUGAAGAUACCGGAGAUUGAACCGGUGAUGGAUUUGGGGAUUACUCAGUCAAAUCAAUUGGUUCUGAGCUCUCAACCCUGGGUUUCUUCUUCAAUGGCCGACCGCCUGACCUUGUUAAAUAUCGCCUUGUCGGCGGCUUUGGUGGCGCCGGCUUCACUGGAGGAGGAUUUGGUCUCGACGGCGAAGGCUUUGGAGCAGGUUCUGGAACAGAGCCUGGACUUGGCUCCUUUCGCAGACUCCUUUUGCGGUUCGAAGGGGAUGAAGACUUUGCCCCUAGCGUUCGUGCCAUUUUGGGAUAUCGAUCGUUGGCCGGCGUUGCUGAAUGGAGAAGAUAACCGGAGACACGGACGGCGCGGCUUGGCGAAGAAGACGAAGGGGCUGCGAGAAUGGUACUCUGAUUUUUGAAACCCUUUUCGUAGCACUUUUGACCGGUAUAAAUAGGAAAAACGGAAGCCCAAGGAUCAGUUUAAGUUUCGCAACAAAACGCCAAUUUCGCAGCAACUUGCCAUUUUCGCAGCAACUUUGCAGUGAGUUUCGCAGCUGCGAAAUUGAUGUUACUGUGCUGCGAAGUGGCACUCGUGUGCCAAAACCACUUUCGCAAUUGCGAAAUACCCUGCGGAAUGGGACUUUUGGUGCAAAAUCAUGCUUUUCCACUUCGCAAUGGGUUUCGCAGCUGCGAAAUGGAUGCUACUGUACUGCGAAGUGGCACUCGUGUGCCAAAUUCACUUUCGCAGCUGCGAAAUACACUCGCAGAGACUUCUACAGUGUUGCGGAAUGGUUUGGCAACAAAAUGCCGAUUUCGCAGAAGUUUCCUUCACCCUGCGAAAUUUCGCAGAGCUCUGUUUUUCCCCUGUUUUUGCUCUGUUUCGGCUCCAAUUUCGGCCCGAUUUUUUUUCUUUUCAAUCCCCUUGAAAUUUCUUCCACCUGGGAUCAUUUAAAACAAUUAAAACACACCUAAAAACAUGAUUUAAGAUCAAAAACUAAGAUCAAAAGUAUGGAAACAACUUGAAAAUUUACAAAAUUUACAAAAAUUUUGGACUGUGGUUAAACCACGUCCAGCAAACCCAUUUCACUUAGGCUUUUUGAGGUUCAAGGAGGUUGAUUGCCUCCUUUUCUGAUUUGAAUGGCUUGAGACGAUAUCCAUUGACUCUAAAGCUAUCCUUGCCAUUGGAAUUCAAUAAGUCCACCACUCCAUUGGAAUAUACUCGGUGAAUAACAAAUGGACCAAUCCACCUUGACUUGAGCUUCCUAGGAAAGAUAUGGAGUCUUGUGUCAUACAUCAAAACUUUUUGCCCUUCCUGAAAUUCCUUGUUGGAGAUGAGUUGAUCAUGCCACUUCUUCAUCCUCUGUUUUGCAACUUUGGAAUUGAUAUAAGCAUUAUUUCUUAAUUCCUCCAUCUCAUUAAGGUCUAGAAAUCUCUUUUCUCCUGCCUUGAUCAAGUCCAUAUUCAGUUUCUUUAUUGCCCACCAAGCUUUGUAUUCAACUUCCACAGGGAGAUGGCAAGCUUUGCCAUAGACAAGACGAUAGGGAGACAUCCCAAGAAUAGUCUUAUAAGCUGUUCUAUAUGCCCACAAUGAGUCAUGAAGCCUAAUAGACCAAUCCUUUCUGUUGGAAUUCACCACUUUCAUCAAGAUGUUCUUUAUUUCCCUGUUAGCUAGCUCAACUUGGCCAGAAGUCUGAGGAUGAUAAGGUGUGGCCACCUUAUGCUUCACUCCAUACUUGGAUAACAGAGCUUCAAAAGGUUUGUUGCAAAAAUGAGCACCUCCAUCACUGAUUAUAGCUUUGGGCACCCCAAAUCUUGAGAAUAUGUUCUCUUUAAGAAACUUGAGAACCACCCUGUGAUCAUUUUGUUUACAGGGGAUUGCCUCAACCCACUUAGAAACAUAAUCUACCCCCACCAAAAUGUAAGAAUUACCAAAAGACAUUGGGAAAGGUCCCAUGAAGUCAAUGCCCCAUACAUCAAAUAAUUCAACUAUCAGAAUGGGGUUCAUAGGCAUUUGAUUUCUUUUUGUUAGCUUUCCAAGCCUUUGGCAUCUAUCACAAGUCCUACACAUAAUGUGAGCAUCUUUGAAAAGAGAGGGCCAAGUAAACCCUGAUUGCAAUACCUUCAUGGCUGAAUGGUCAGUGAAGACAAUGAUGAAAGACCCCACUAAAUAAGCUCGAAAUUUGUCCAAAGCAAAUACCACAGCUAACAAUUCUUUCUCUGUAGUUGUGUAGUUCCUCUGAGCUUCAUUUAGUGUUUUACUUGCAUAGUAAAUCACAUAGGGCUUCCCAUCUUCUCUUUGGCCAAGCACAGCUCCUAUAGCAUAGUCACUGGCAUCACACAUCAAUUCAAAAGGUAAUUGCCAGUUAGGGGCUCUCACUAUUGGAGUUGUUGUUAAAAACUUCUUCAGUUGAUCAAAGCUAUGCUGACACCUUUCAUCCCAUAUAAACUUAGUAUCCUUAGCUAACAACUCACAAAGAGGUUUUGAAAGACUUGAAAAACCUUUUAUAAACCUCCUAUAGAACCCUGCAUGGCCAAGGAACUGCCUUACUCCUUUCACAGUUGUUGGAGAUGGUAAUUUGGCAAUAAGCUCCACCUUUGCUUUAUCAACUUCAAUGCCUCUUUCAGAGAUGAUAUGGCCAAGGAAAAUUCCUUGACGUACCAUAAAAUGACAUUUCUCCCAAUUCAGCACCAGAUCUUUUUCAAUGCAUCUAUGAAGAACUGCUUCCAAAUUAACCAAGCAUUCCUCAAAUGUACCUCCAUAUACGGUGAUGUCAUCCAUGAAAACCUCCAUAAUUCUCUCCACCAUAUCACUGAAAAUACUCAACAUACAUCUUUGAAAUGUAGCAGGUGCAUUGCAUAAACCAAAAGGCAUUCUUCUAUAAGCAAAUGUUCCAAAUGGACAUGUAAAAGUGGUUUUUUCCUGAUCUGCCAAAUCAAUUUCAAUUUGAAAAUACCCUGAAUACCCAUCCAAGAAACAAUAGAAUGGAUGUCCAGAGACUCUCUCCAGCACUUGGUCAAUAAAUGGCAAUGGAAAAUGAUCCUUCCUAGUGACAGCAUUCAGCUUUCUAUAAUCAAUACACACCCUCCAACCUGAAGUGAGGCGUGUAGUAAUUUCUUCCCCUUUUUCAUUUUGAAUCACUGUGAUCCCUGACUUCUUUGGUACCACUUGAGUAGGACUCACCCAAGGGCUAUCAGAAAUAGGGUAAAUGAUUCCUGCUUGAAGUAGCUUCAGCACCUCAGCUCGCACCACCUCUUGUAGAUGAGGAUUCAACCUUCUUUGAAAUUGACGAAUUGGCUUUGCUUCCUCCUCCAUAUAUAUAUGAUGAGUACAAACUAAAGGACUAAUGCCUUUCAAAUCAUAUAUUUGCCAUCCUAUUGCCUUCUUACACCUCCUGAGAACUUCCAUUAAACAAUUCUCUUGAUGAUGGGUCAGAGAUGAAGAUAUCACAACAGGACAUUGAUUAUUUUCUUCAAGAUAUGUAUAUUUCAGCUCCAUAGGUAAAGACUUCAGAUUGAGUUUUGGAAUUUCUUCUUCAACAGCUGCCUCCUCUUCUUCAUUGAACAAAGGUAGAAUUCCUUCUAUCUUUCUCCAACUUUGUAGAGUAGCAAGCCCAAUAGGAGAUUCAGAAAAACCUUCCUCAAUAUCCACAAGACUUUCAUUCAACUUUUCUUGCAUAUGUUGAUUGCAGUGCUCCUCCACCAAAGUAUCAAUUAUACAUAACUCUUCUGGACCUUCUUCUUCUUCCGGAGUGAUUUGCUUUUUAGACAUAUAGAAAAUAUUGAGAUCCAGUGUCAUAUUACCAAAAGUGAGUUGCAUAAGCCCAUUUCUCCAAUUAAUGAUUGCAUUUGAAGUUGCAAGAAAUGGCCUUCCAAGGAUGAUAGGAACUAAAUUAGCUUCCUUUACAGUAGGAUCUGUAUCAAGAACAAUAAAAUCUACUGGAUAGUAGAAAUUAUCCACUUGAACCAAUACAUCCUCAAUUACCCCUCUUGGAAUUUUCACUGAUCUAUCUGCUAGAGAUAAAGUGAUUGCUGUUGGCUUCAACUCUCCAAGUCCUAAUUACUUGUAGACAGAAUAUGGAAGCAAAUUCACACUUGCUCCCAAAUCUAGCAAGGCUUUCUCCACUACCUUUCCUCCAAUCAUGACUGAAAUGGUAGGACUUCCAGGGUCUUUGUACUUCAAAGGAGACUUACAUUGUAAGAUUGCACUUACUUGCUCAAUCAAGAAGGCUUUCUUGUUUACAGUCAACCCUCUUUUGAUAGUACACAAGUCCUUAAGGAAUUUUGCAUAUGUUGGAACUUGUUUGAUCAUAUCCAGUAGUGGAAUAUUAACUUUCACUUGCCUCAAGACUUCAAGGAUUUCAGCUGCAUUUCUAACCCCCUUUUUCCCAUGUAAUGCUUGAGGAAAAGGUGGAGAAGUUGAUUUCUUCAGCAUUUCUUCCUUCAAAAGCUCUUUCUCUGGAAUUGCUUUGAUUGUUGCAUCAGAGUCCUUCUUUUCUUCACUGAUCUCACUCUCUUUAUCUUCCAUUUCCUUCCCUUUCUUUAUCUCUUCUUCUUUCUCAACAUGUGGCUUGGGUGUUGGCUGCUCAAUUUUUUUACCACUCCUUAGAGUGAUCAAAGCUUUCACAUCUUUCAUCUGUGAUGAUUCUCCCUCAUGGCUUUCCACUUCAUGGACACCUUUGGGAUUUUGGUUAGAUUGAGAAGGAAAUCUUCCUUUUUCUUGCAGUGUAUUCAAAUUUGUAAGCCUUGAAAUUGAAUAUUGGAUGUUAUCAAACUUUUGGUUCAUAUCAUUUUGCAUUCCAUCCAUUCUUUUGUUCAACACACUCUCCAUUCUAUCCAUUCUUUGAUCAACUCGAGCAUUGGUGGCUUCUUGCUUUCCCACAAAAUCUCCCACUACCUUGCUGAGAUUGGCUAUUAUUUGUUCAAUACUUGAAGAUUGUUGAGAUGGUGGAUCCGGCUGUUGGUAUUGAGUUGCUCUGGCCUUCCAUGAGAAAUUUGGAUGAUUCCUCCAACUUGAAUUGUAGGUAUUUCCAUAAGGAGCAUUGUUAUUGGGCCUAAAUUGUCCAACAACAUUUGCUUGAUCUCUAUACAUUUCCCUUUCAACUGAAAUUGCAGGGCAUUCCUCCACCAAAUGUUCAAAUGAUUGACAAUUGGGACACAACUUCACUUGCACUGGUGCUUCAGCAACAGCUUGCACUUCAUGUAUUCUUUUCAGCUCCAGCUCCUCCAAUCUUCUUGUCAUAGCUGCCAACUUUGCUUUCAUGUCAUCAUCUUCUUUCAAAUUAUACAUCCCAGCCUUUGCAUUGUAAGCAUUCAACUGAGACUUCAUCUUUCCCACUUCUCCUUUAGUUGGUUCAUCCCAUCCCCUUGAAACAUCAGCUACAUAGCUCAAGAAAUCCAUAGCUUCCUCUGGAUUUUUGCUCAUGAAAUCUCCUCCACACAUUGUCUCGAGGAGUUGCUUCAUUGAGGAGGACAUACCAUCAUAAAAAUAGCUCACCAAUAGCCAAGUAUCAAAGCCAUGGUGAAGACAAGCAUUUAUAGCUUCCAUGUAUCUUUCCCAACACUCAUAGAAUUUCUCAUUCUCUUUAGCUGAGAAGUUUGAAAUUUGCCUUUUCAAGCCAUUUGUUCUAUGAGUAGGAAAAAAUUUCUUGAGAAAUUCAGCUUGUAGAUCAGUCCAAGAGCGGAUACUCCUUGGCCUUAAAGAAUUAAGCCAAAUUUUGGCCUUAUCUUUUAAAGUGAAAGGAAAUAACUUAAGCCUCAUCAAAUCAAUUGAAGCUCCUCCCUCUUGGAAUGUAUUACAAACAUCUUCAAAUUCCUUGAUGUGUGCAUACGGAUUCUCACUUUCCAUCCCAUGGAAAGUUGGUAGAAGUGGAACAAGAUAUGGUCUAAUCACUAGCUACUCUGUAGGGGGCACUAUACAUGAUGGUGCACUCAUACGAGGUGGAUGCAUACGAUCCCUCAUUGAUCUGAAUUCAUUGAGAUUGUCUUGACGACCUUGGUGACUAUGCUGAUCUUCAGGUGCAGCCUCCAUGAUAUUCAAGAUUACUUCCAAUUCUCUUCUCUGAGGUGUAUCACACUUAACAAGCCUACCUCCAAUGUCUCGUAUCCACUUUGGCAUACACAACUAGUAUCUAUCUGCAACUUAAAUAAAAACAGAGGACAACAAGAAAAACAGGGCUACAACAACAAAAUUAAACUAGACUAAAUUUUAAAAGAUAAACUUAGAUUGUAAAUAAACAAAGAAAGAAUGAAACUUAGUAAAGUGAAAGAAACUUUACCAACUUGUGAUGAAAAUCACAAGUGCUCAACAAUGGUAUCACAAUGAACUUGACACUCAUUCCCCGGCAACGGCGCCAUUUGACUCAUGCCCAAUUGGUGUCUCAGCUGAUUUGUGUUCAGCUGGUGCUCCUUGAUUGAGGAAGUGAUCAACAAAAUUUAUACCUAUAACACCAUACACUAGGGUAGCAAAUACAAAGCUACUAUAGUAUAGUGGCUCUAGGAUCGUUCACUGGGAAUGAUUAACAAGCAAUCAAGGAUACCAAUUCCAAGUGAAUUGGUCUUGUUUCAUUUCACGGUUAGCUUAAGGAAUAAAACACAAAAUUUGAUUGGCAAAGGUUGAGACUUAAACUAACUAACUUAACAGAAGUUUGGAAUAAUUUAGGAAGAAAAGCAUUCCUUGGAGAUUUAGGUUCACCGGGGUGGUUCCUCAUGCAAAAGAUAUAGCUCCGGUCAGAUGGUUCAUUUCCUCGCAUUAGAGAUUCAACUUAGAGUCAAUUCUCUAACCGGUGAUGUACAGAGACUCCUUCAAUUAGAUUUCACUUUAAUUCUCUCACUGAUGCAACUUGCAAUGGUUCAUGCCUCUCACGAGCACUUACCAUUCAAGGUGAUCUUUAACCUUGGACUUCCCUUCACAAACUCGCAAGAGAUAACUAAUGGAUGUCUCCUAGGAGUCCAAAAGCUUACCAAGUGUUGNNNNNNNNNNNNNNNNNNNNNNNNNNNNNNNNNNNNNNNNNNNNNNNNNNNNNNNNNNNNNNNNNNNNNNNNNNNNNNNNNNNNNNNNNNNNNNNNNNNNUGGAGAUUUAGGUUCACCGGGGUGGUUCCUCAUGCAAAAGAUAUAGCUCCGGUCAGAUGGUUCAUUUCCUCGCAUUAGAGAUUCAACUUAGAGUCAAUUCUCUAACCGGUGAUGUACAGAGACUCCUUCAAUUAGAUUUCACUUUAAUUCUCUCACUGAUGCAACUUGCAAUGGUUCAUGCCUCUCACGAGCACUUACCAUUCAAGGUGAUCUUUAACCUUGGACUUCCCUUCACAAACUCGCAAGAGAUAACUAAUGGAUGUCUCCUAGGAGUCCAAAAGCUUACCAAGUGUUGGUAAUUCUAGAAAAUCCUACCUUGAAGUCACCUACCAGAGGCUCGCAAGGGGUAAACUAGUGCAUUUCCACGGUUGGAAAUCACUUGCCUUACCAAGUGUUGGCCCAGGUGACUCUAAGGUGUUUUAAGUUAACUAAAAACAUUGAAAUCACUAAAGGAUUUCACUUCCUCUUCAUUACUAGCUAAAACCACAAAGCUUUGCAUUCUUGCACUUGGAACCUUCCCCGGCAACCUUAGCUCCAAGGAAUUGGAGGUUUAGUUACUCAUUCUCUGGGGAAAACUCCUCAGAGAAUUCAUAACUUAGAAAUAAAAUGAAAAUACAAAGUGAGAAGGUAAGGCAGUAGAAAGAAAAAUAGACUUUACUUGCUUACCAAACGGUUACAGAAGGAACAUCUCCUUGAGAACAGGCUCCCGAGAGGUAUAUAUAUCAAACCAAUAUAAAACUAAUUUUUAUAAAGAUAUUUGGUCUUUUUACUAACUUCAAAACUAAGGAAUCAUGUAAUUGGUCGUUUACAAGGAGUAUUUUGGGAUUUAGACAACAAAAAUCUAAUGGAAAAUAUCUCCCAAUGUCGGUAGCAAGCUUCGGGAGGCUUCAGGAGCCAUUUCGCAGGUAAAAAAUGAGGUAUGCGAAAUUUCGCAGACACCCAAGAGGGCUGCGAAAUUAUUUCGCAACACCGAGCUAUCUUCACUAGGCUGCAAAGUUGGCUUCCAUCUUGAGGUUUCCAGCUCCCUUCUCGCGGCAUGGUUCGUGAAUCGUCAGAAGGAGAAACACCUUACUGUACAAAAGUGCUGCGAAAUUCUCGCAACAAAUGGCUGAUUCCGCAACACUUUGGAGUGAUCUUCUUCUAAUGGCUGCAACUUCUUCGUUUCAACUCUGAAUCGCGCACCGUUUGAAGCAUUGGAUUGUUGACUUCCUGAGCUUUGAAAUGGUAUAUAGCAUGCAUCAUUUGGAAUUCAGAAAGUGCUCCAAAAGUGGCUGCUACGACUGUCAUCAAGAAUAGGCUUCAUGGCAGAUUCUCUUUGCUUUUUCUCCUUGCAAUCCGGAAUCACUCUUGGCAAUUGAAUUCUAAGCUUUGCCCAAGAUUCCUCAUAGCUCUCCUCAUUCUUGACUUGCUUUGGUGAUCAAAAUACUAACAAAAACACCAAAACUUACACAAAGUGAUCAAAAUUGCUUUAAAGGAUCCUUAACAUGCCAAUUGAGUUAAAAGGCCUAAACUACUACUCAAAAGUGUUUAAAAGGAUUAAUUAUAGGCUAUCAAAUAGCACUUUUUGAGUAGUAAUCAAAAAGCAUUCAAAGAAAUUUAUCAAGCAUAUUUUACUAGAAAAUGUUCAAUACAAAAAGGCCUUUUCCCCCUCAUUUUUCUUAAUUUUGCUAUGUUUCUUAGUUGUCGUAGUUGCAUGCAUGGUUGGCAUUUUCUCAGUGAAAUAAACUAAUAGAUUCAUCUCUUAUUUCCUUCAAUAAGAGACUCUCAUUUUAUAGAUUUUGUCUUAAACCUAUAUUUCUACUUAUCUAUCUAUAUAUACACAACACUCAAAAUAAAAAAUUAAUAUGGGAAUUUGAGGAAACAAACAAACUUCCUCUUUGGGAAAAGGGCAAAUGCUGAAUUUUCCUCCGCUCAAGUUGUAUUUUCUGGUGGGCAUUUAACAUGAGAAUAACAAGGAAAUCAAAAGCUUUAAUUUACUGUGACCUUUUUAAAUCUAUAGCCUCAAGAUGGAUGAAAUGAUAAAAAUAUUCUCCAGUGAUUUGUAUUUUUUUUUUUAUCAGUCAAUUCUCUUACAUCUAAUGACACGUGAGACCCUUUAAAUUCCAAGACCAAGAAAUUACUUGCAUUUUAUUAUUGUUAUGUUUUUUUGGGAAUUCAAAUUCAACUCUCUCCUACCAUGACUUUGCCCUAAUGGUCAUAAAUUUUGAGAGCCAUGCAUAUACCUCAUGACCUAGAAUUUUUUUCUAUAUUGUUGUUGUACCUAACACUAGAAUUCAGAGAGAGAAAGAGAGAGAGAACUACUCCUAUUUGAUGCUUAUUAAUUAGGAUUUAGGCCCAUUGGAAUUGGAGUAUGUGCAGAUAGAAAAAGACAAUUCCAAGCUGAUGUGAAUAUCUCUUAUAAAUCAUUCAAUCUUAUCUUCAAGACAACAAAUUGCAAGAAAAUAUUUGCCAUACAUUUGGUACAAACCCAACCUAAAUGCAUGCCAAUCACUACCAUCAAAUGCUAGUAAAUUUGAAAUAUCUUGUAGCUGAUCAUGGAAGAUAUCAACUUCUACAUGUUCCAUACUAUUGCUAGCCAACACAUGAUUUCAUGGCAAAGUUGAGUAUUAGAACUCCACUGCAUAGAAUACAGGAAAAAUACUAUUGGAUAGUAAAGCUUGAAUUAAUCUUAUGACCCUACAUAAAAGAUGUUCAGGAUUCUCCAUUGAGCUUAUAGCUAUUAAUUUUGUUUUUUUAAUUAGAUUUCAUUAACUAGCGAAAACAAAAAUUGUGUGAUUGUAAUUGAUAGGAGAUUUCAUUAUUGAGUGAAAAAAAAAGAAAAAAAAAAGGUGUGCAACUCUAGUAUAAAGAAGAAUGAGAGCUUUCAUUAUUAUAACAUUUUUACCUUUGUUUAAUUAUUGAAUUUUUAAAGUAUUGGUGCAUUCGAUGAAUGUAGAGAUAAUAUUAGUAGCCAAACUACAUUAAAAUCUUUUUUAUUUUUAUUUUUAUUAUUAUUAUAAUUUCAACUCAUAUAUGUGGAGGUGCAAAGACUAAAGGUAGAGUUAAUUUUUAUCGGUGGGAAGAAUCUAUCAAUUGUGUUGCUAGGAAGCUUCAUACAAAGAAUUUUGGUUUAAUAUAUUAUCAAAAUUGUCUUUCUCAAUCAAUAAACGUCAACUGAUGUUGAUGUACCAUGAAACUCCAUACAAAGCAUUUUAAUUUAAUGUAUUUAUCAAAAUCAUCUCUCUCAAUUAAUAAAUGUUAAUUACUAUUCAUGUACUCCCCACCCCUCUCAUUCCUUGUAAUAUAUAUACUUGGAGUUAGAAAGAGGUCAAGACUCUAAGGAUGGUACCAAACCUUCGCUUACAAUGAUACUACCCAACAUUUAAUUGCUUAUUUCAUAGAAAAGUCUUGGAUGGCGUAGAUUUUACAAAGGAUACUUUUAUUUGGUCAAGGUAAACCUCCCCCCACCCCAUACACACAAACACACACAUCAUUCCUUGUAAUAUAUAUGCUCGAAGUUGGAAAGAGGUCAAGACUAGGGAUGCUACCAAACCUCCACUUCUAGUGACAAGACCUAAUAUUUAAUUGCUUGUUUUAUACAAAAGUCUUUGUACAAGGAGCAUCAUCUUUCAUGUAUGUUGUAAGAUGACACAAAUUUUAUAACCUUACAUAGAAAAUGUUAAGGAUUCUCCACUGAGCUUACAAUCAUGUAGCCUAUAGCUAUAUUUUUUUAUUUAUUUAAAUUAGGUUUCAUUAGUGAGCGAAAAGAAAAAGUGUGUGAUUGUAAUUGAGAGGAGAUUUCAUUACUGAGUGAAAAAAAAAGUGUAACUCUAAUAUAAAAAAGAAUGGCAGCUUUUAGUAUUAUAACAUUUUUACCUUCAUUUAAUUAUAGAAUUUUAAAGUGUUGGUAUCUGAUAAUUGUACAGAUUAUAUUAGUAACCAAACUACAUUAAAAUCUUUUGGUUUAUUUCUUUUUUUUUUUAAUUCAGCUCAUAUGUAUGGAGGUGCAAAGACUAAAGGUAGAGUUAAUUUUUAUAAGUUGGAAAAAGGUAUCAUAUGUGUAGCCACGAAGCUUCAUACAAAGAAUUUUGGUUUAAUAUAUUAUAAAAAUUAUCUUUCUCAACAAUAAAUGUCAAAUGAUGUUGAGGUACCACGAAACUUUAUACAAAGAGUUUUGGUUUAAUGUAUUAUAAAAAUCGUCUCUCUCAAUUGAUAAAUUUUACUAACUAUUGAUGUACUCCCCACCCCUCCCAUUCCUUGUAAUAUAUAUGCUUGGAGUUAGAAAGAGGUCAAGACACUAAGGAUGGUACCAAACUUUCGCUUGUAGUGAUAAGACCCAACAUUUAAUUGCUUUUUUCAUAAAAAAGUUUUGGAUGGCGUAGAUUUUACAAAGGAUACUUUGAUUUUGUCAAGGUAAACCUUCCCCCACCCCAUACACACAAACACACACACCAUUUCUUGUAAAAUUUAUGCUCGAAGUUGGAAAGAGGUCAAGACUAGGGAUGCUACAAAACCUCCACUUGUAGUGACAAAACCCGAUAUUUAAUUGCUUGUUUUGUACAAAAGUCUUUCUACAAGGAGCAUCAUCUUUCAUGUAUCUUGUAGGGUGAUACAAAUUUUAUAACCUUACAUAAAAGAUGUUCAGGAUUCUCCAUUGAGCUUGCAAUGAUUGAGCCUAUAUCUAUAUAUAUAUUUUUUAAAUUAGGUUUCAUUAGUGAGUGAAAAGAAAAAGUGUGUGAUUGUAAUUGAGAGGAGAUUUCAUUAUUGAGUGAAAAAAAAAAAGUGCAACUCUAAUAUAGAAAAGAAUGGUAGCUUUUAGUAUUAUAACAUUUUUACCUUCAUUUAAUUAUUGGAUUUUAAAGUGUUGGUGUAUCCCACAAUUGUAGAGAUUAUAUUAGUAACCAAACUACAUAAAAAUCUUUUGGUUUAAUUCUUUUUAUUUUUUUACUUUUUUAUUUCAGCUCAUAUGUGUGGAAGUGCAACGACUAAAGGUAGAGUUAAUUUUUAUAAGUGGGAAAAAGCUAUCAUAUUUGUUGCCACGAAGCUUCAUACAAAGAAUUUUGGUUUAAUAUAUUAUCAAAAUUGUCUUUCUCAACAAUAAAUGUAAACUGAUGUUGAGGUACUACGAAACUUCAUACAAAGAAUUUUGGUUUAAUGUAUUAUCAAAAUCGUCUCUCUCAAUUGAUAAAUGUUACUUACUAUUGAUGUACUCCCCACCCCUCCCAUUCCUUGUAAUAUAUAUGCUUGGAGUUAGAAAGAGGUCAAGAUGCUAAGGAUGGUACCAAACCUUCGCUUGCAGUCAUAUGACCCAACAUUUAAUUGCUUAUUUCAUAGAAAAGUCUUGGAUGGCGUAGAUUUUACAAAUAGUACUUUGAUUUGGUAAAGGUAAAUCUCCUCCCACCCCAUACACACAAACACACACACCAUUCCUUGUAAUAUAUAUGCUCGAAGUUGGAAAGAGGUCAAGACUAGGGAUGCUACUAAACCACCACUUGUAGUGACAAAACCUAAUAUUUAAUUGCUUGUUUUGUACAAAAGUCUUUGUACAAGGAGCAUCAUCUUUCAUGUAUCUUGUAGGGUGAUACAAAUUUUAUAACCUUACAUAAAAGAUGUUCGGGAUUCUCCACCGAGUUUACAAUGAUUGAGCCUAUAUCUAUAUAUAUAUUUUUUAAAUUAGGUUUCAUUAGUGAGUGAAAAGAAAAAGUGUGUGAUUGUAAUUGAGAGAAGAUUUCAUUAUUGAGUGAAAAAAAGUGCAACUCUAAUAUAAAAAAGAAUGGCAGCUUUUAGUAUUAUAACAUUUUUACCUUCAUUUAAUUAUUGAAUUUUAAAGUGUUGGUGUAUCCCAUAAUUGUAGAGAUUAUAUUAGUAACCAAACUACAUUAAAAUCUUUUGGUUUCUUUCUUUUUAGUUUUUUAUUUUUUUUAUUUCAGCUCAAAUGUCUGGAAGUGCAAAGACUAAAGGUAGAGUUAAUUUUUAGAAGUGGGAAAAAGCUAUCAUAUUUGUUGCCACGAAGCUUCAUACAAAGAAUUUUGGUUUAAUAUAUUAUCAAAAUUGUCUUUCUCAACAAUAAAUGUCAACUGAUGUUGAGGUACCACCAAACUUCAUACAAAGAGUUUUGGUUUAAUGUAUUAUCGAAAUUGUCUCUCUCAAUUGAUAAAUGUUACUUACUAUUGAUGUACUCCCCACCCCUCCCAUUCCUUGUAAUAUAUAUGCUUAGAGUUAGAAAGAGGCCAAAAUGCUAAGGAUGGUACACAACCCUUCACUUGCAGUGAUAAGACCCAACAUUUAAUUGCUUAUUUCAUAGAAAAGUCUUGGAUGGCGUAGAUUUUACAAAGGAUACUUUGAUUUGGUCAAGCUAAACCUCUUCCCACCCCAUACACACAAACCCACACACACACACCAUUUCUUGUAAUAUAUAUGCUCGAAGUUGGAAAGAGGUCAAGACUAGGGAUGCUACCAAACCUCCACUUCUAGUGACAAGACCUAAUAUUUAAUUGCUUGUUUUGUAAAAAAGUCUGUGUACAAGGAGCGUCAUUUUUCUUGUAUCUUGUAGGAUGACACAAAUUUUAUAACCUUACAUAAAAUAUGUUUGGGAUUCUCCACUGAGCUUACAAUGAUUGAGCCUAUAUCUAUAUAUUUAUUUUUUAAAUUAUGUUUCAUUAGUGAGUGAAAAGAAAAAGCGUGUGAUUGUAAUUGAGAGGAGAUUUCAUUAUUGAGUGAAAAAAAAGUGCAACUCUAAUAUAAAAAAGAAUGGCAGCUUUUAGUAUUUUAACAUUUUUACCUUCAUUUAAUUUUUGAAUUUUAAAGUGUUGGUGUAUCCCAUAAUUGUAGAGAUUAUAUUAGUAACCAAACUACAUUAAAAUCUUUUGGUUUCUUUCUUUUUAUUUUUUUAUUUUUUUUAUUUCAGCUCAAAUGUGUGGAAGUGCAAAGACUAAAGGUAGAGUUAAUUUUUAGAAGUGGGAAAAAGCUAUCAUAUUUGUUGCCACGAAGCUUCAUACAAAGAAUUUUGGUUUAAUAUAUUAUCAAAAUUGUCUUUCUCAACAAUAAAUGUCAACUGAUGUUGAGGUACCACCAAACUUCAUACAAAGAGUUUUGGUUUAAUGUAUUAUCGAAAUCGUCUCUCUCAAUUGAUAAAUGUUACUUACUAUUGAUGUACUCCCCACCCCUCCCAUUCCUUGUAAUAUAUAUGCUUAGAGUUAGAAAGAGGCCAAAAUGCUAAGGAUGGUACACAACCCUUCACUUGCAGUGAUAAGACNNNNNNNNNNNNNNNNNNNNNNNNNNNNNNNNNNNNNNNNNNNNNNNNNNNNNNNNNNNNNNNNNNNNNNNNNNNNNNNNNNNNNNNNNNNNNNNNNNNNAUCUUUUGGUUUCUUUCUUUUUAGUUUUUUAUUUUUUUUAUUUCAGCUCAAAUGUCUGGAAGUGCAAAGACUAAAGGUAGAGUUAAUUUUUAGAAGUGGGAAAAAGCUAUCAUAUUUGUUGCCACGAAGCUUCAUACAAAGAAUUUUGGUUUAAUAUAUUAUCAAAAUUGUCUUUCUCAACAAUAAAUGUCAACUGAUGUUGAGGUACCACCAAACUUCAUACAAAGAGUUUUGGUUUAAUGUAUUAUCGAAAUCGUCUCUCUCAAUUGAUAAAUGUUACUUACUAUUGAUGUACUCCCCACCCCUCCCAUUCCUUGUAAUAUAUAUGCUUAGAGUUAGAAAGAGGCCAAAAUGCUAAGGAUGGUACACAACCCUUCACUUGCAGUGAUAAGACCCAACAUUUAAUUGCUUAUUUCAUAGAAAAGUCUUGGAUGGCGUAGAUUUUACAAAGGAUACUUUGAUUUGGUCAAGCUAAACCUCCUCCCACCCCAUACACACAAACCCACACACACACACCAUUUCUUGUAAUAUAUAUGCUCGAAGUUGGAAAGAGGUCAAGACUAGGGAUGCUACCAAACCUCCACUUCUAGUGACAAGACCUAAUAUUUAAUUGCUUGUUUUGUAAAAAAGUCUGUGUACAAGGAGCGUCAUUUUUCUUGUAUCUUGUAGGAUGACACAAAUUUUAUAACCUUACAUAAAAUAUGUUUGGGAUUCUCCACCGAGCUUACAAUGAUUGAGCCUAUAUCUAUAUAUUUAUUUUUUAAAUUAUGUUUCAUUAGUGAGUGAAAAGAAAAAGCGUGUGAUUGUAAUUGAGAGGAGAUUUCAUUAUUGAGUGAAAAAAAAGUGCAACUCUAAUAUAAAAAAGAAUGGCAGCUUUUAGUAUUUUAACAUUUUUACCUUCAUUUAAUUUUUGAAUUUUAAAGUGUUGGUGUAUCCCAUAGUUGUAGAGAUUAUAUUAGUAACCAAACUACAUUAAAAUCUUUCGGUUUAUUUCUUUUUAUUUUUUUUAUUUUUUUUUAUUUCAGCUCAAAUGUGUGGAAGUGCAAAGAUUGAAGGUGGAGUUAAUUUUUAUAAGUGGGAAAAAGCUAUCAUAUUUGUUGCCACGAAGCUUCAUACAAAGAAUUUUGGUUUAAUAUAUUAUCAAAAUUUUCUUUCUCAACAAUAAAUGUAAACUGAUGUUGAGGUACUACGAAACUUCAUACAAAUAAUUUUGGUUUAAUGUAUUAUCAAAAUCGUCUCUCUCAAUUGAUAAAUGUUACUUACUAUUGAUGUACUCCCCACCCCUCCCAUUCCUUGUAAUAUAUAUGCUUGGAGUUAGAAAGAGGUCAAGAUGCUAAGGAUGGUACCAAACCUUCGCUUGUAGUCAUAUGACCCAACAUUUAAUUGCUUAUUUCAUAGAAAAGUCUUGGAUGGCGUAGAUUUUACAAAUAGUACUUUGAUUUGCUCAAGGUAAACGUCCUCCCACCCCAUACACACAAACACACACACCAUUCCUUGUAAUAUAUAUGCUCGAAGUUGGAAAGAGGUCAAGACCAGGGAUGCUACUAAACCUCCACUUGUAGUGACAAAACCUAAUAUUUAAUUACUUGUUUUGUACAAAAGUCUUUGUACAAGGAGCAUCAUCUUUCAUGUAUCUUGUAGGGUGAUACAAAUUUUAUAACCUUCCAUAAAAGAUGUUCGGGAUUCUCCACUGAGCUUACAAUGAUUGAGCCUAUAUCUAUAUAUAUAUUUUUUAAAUUAGGUUUCAUUAGUGAGUGAAAAGAAAAAGUGUGUGAUUGUAAUUGAGAGAAGAUUUCAUUAUUGAGUGAAAAAAAGUGCAACUCUAAUAUAAAAAAGAAUGGCAACUUUUAGUAUUAUAACAUUUUUACCUUCAUUUAAUUAUUGAAUUUUAAAGUGUUGGUGUAUCCCAUAAUUGUAGAGAUUAUAUUAGUAUCCAAACUACAUUAAAAUCUUUUGGUUUAUUUCUUUUUAUUUUUUUAUUUUUUUUAUUUCAGCUCAAAUGUGUGGAAGUGCAAAGACUAAAGGUAGAGUUAAUUUUUAGAGGUGGGAAAAAGCUAUCAUAUUUGUUGCCACGAAGCUUCAUACAAAGAAUUUUGGUUUAAUAUAUUAUCAAAAUUGUCUUUCUCAACAAUAAAUGUCAACUGAUGUUAAGGUACCACCAAACUUCAUACAAAGAGUUUUGGUUUAAUGUAUUAUCGAAAUCGUCUCUCUCAAUUGAUAAAUGUUACUUACUAUUGAUGUACUCCCCACCCCUCCCAUUCCUUGUAAUAUAUAUGCUUAGAGUUAGAAAGAGGCCAAAAUGCUAAGGAUGGUACCAAACCUUCACUUGCAGUGAUAAGACCCAACAUUUAAUUGCUUAUUUCAUAGAAAAGUCUUGGAUGGCAUAGAUUUUACAAAGGAUACUUUGAUUUGGUCAAGCUAAACCUCCUCCCACCCCAUACACACAAACACACACACACACACACCAUUUCAUGUAAUAUAUAUGCUCGAAGUUGGAAAGAGGUCAAGACUAGGGAUGCUACCAAACCUCCACUUCUAGUGACAAGACCUAAUAUUUAAUUGCUUGUUUUGUAAAAGAGUCUGUGUACAAGGAGCAUCAUUUUUCUUGUAUCUUGUAGGAUGACACAAAUUUUAUAACCUUACAUAAAAUAUGUUUGGGAUUCUCCACUGAGCUUACAAUGAUUGAGCCUAUAUCUAUAUAUAUAUUUUUUAAAUUAGGUUUCAUUAGUGAGUGAAAAGAAAAAGCGUGUGAUUGUAAUUGAGAGGAGAUUUCAUUAUUGAGUGAAAAAAAAGUGCAACUCUAAUAUAAAAAAGAAUGGCAGCUUUUAGUAUUAUAACAUUUUUACCUUCAUUUAAUUUUUGAAUUUUAAAGUGUUGGUGUAUCCCAUAGUUGUAGAGAUUAUAUUAGUAACCAAACUACAUUAAAAUCUUUUGGUUUAUUUCUUUUUAUUUAUUUAUUUAUUUUUAUUUCAGCUCAAAUGUGUGGAAGUGCAAAGACUGAAGGUGGAGUUAAUUUUUAUAAGUGGGAAAACGGUAUCAUAUUUGUUGCCACGAAGCUUCAUACAAAGAAUUUUGGUUUAAUAUAUUAUCAAAAUUGUCUUUCUCAACAAUAAAUGUAAACUGAUGUUGAGGUACUACAAAACUUCAUACAAAUAAUUUUGGUUUAAUGUAUUAUCAAAAUCGUCUCUCUCAAUUGAUAAAUGUUACUUACUAUUGAUGUACUCCUCACCCCUCCCAUUCCUUGUAAUAUAUAUGCCUGGAGUUAGAAAGAGGCCAAGAUGCUAAGGAUGGUAGCAAACCUUCGCUUGCAGUCAUAUGACCCAACAUUUAAUUGCUUAUUUCAUAGAAAAGUCUUGGAUGACGUAGAUUUUACAAACAGUACUUUGAUUUGCUCAAGGUAAACCUCCUCCCACCCCAUACACACAAACACACACACCAUUCCUUGUAAUAUAUAUUCUCGAAGUUGGAAAGAGGUCAAGGCUAGGGAUGCUACUAAACCUCCACUUGUAGUGACAAAACCUAAUAUUUAAUUGCUUGUUUUGUACAAAAGCCUUUGUACAAGGAGCAUCAUCUCUCAUGUAUCUUGUAGGGUGAUACAAAUUUUAUAAUCUUACAUAAAAGAUGUUUGGGAUUCUCCACUAAGCUUACAAUGAUUGAGCCUAUAUCUAUAUAUUUUUUUUUUGAAUUAGGUUUCAUUAGUGAGUGAAAAGAAAAAGUGUGUGAUUGUAAUUGAGAGGAGAUUUCAUUAUUGAGUGAAAAAAAAGUGCAGCUCUAAUAUAAUUAAGAAUGGUAGCUUUUAGUAUUAUAACAUUUUUACCUUCACUUAAUUAUUGGAUUUUAAAGUGUUGGUGUAUCCCAUAAUUGUAGAGAUUAUAUUAGUGACCAAACUACAUUAAAAUCUUUUUGUUUAUUUCUUUUUAUUUUUUUAUUUUUUUUAUUUCAGCUCUAAUUGUGGAAGUGCAAAGACUGAAGGUAGAGUUAAUUUUUAUAAGUGGGAAAAAGCUAUCAUAUUUGUUGCCACGAAGUUUCAUACAAAUAAUUUUGGUUUAAUAUAUUAUCAAAAUUGUCUUUCUCAACAAUAAAUGUCAACUGAUGUUGAGGUACCACGAAACUUGAUACAAAGAAUUUUGGUUUAAUGUAUUAUCAAAAUCGUCUCUCUCAAUUGAUAAACAUUACUUACCAUUGAUGUACUCCUCACCCCUCCCAUUCCUUGUAAUAUAUAUGCUUGGAGUUAGAAAGAGGUCAAGACGCUAAGGAUGGUACCAAACCUUUGCUUGCAGUGAUAAGACCCAACAUUUAAUUGCUUAUUUCAUAGAAAAGUCUUGGAUGGUGUAGAUUUUACAAAGGAUACUUUUAUUUGGUCAAGGUAAACCUCCCCCCGCCCCAUACACACAAACACACACACCAUUCCUUAUAAUAUAUAUGCUCAAAGUUGGAAAGAGGUCAUGACUAGGGAUGCUACCAAACCUCCACUUGUAGUGAUAGAACCUAAUAUUUCAUUGCUUGUUUUGUACAAAAGUCUUUGUACAAGGAGCAUCAUCUUUAAUUUAUCUUGUAAGAUGACACAAAUUUUAUAACCUUACAUAAAAGAUGUUCGGGAUUCUCCACUGAGCUUGCAAUGAUUGAACCUAUAACUAUUUAUUUUUUUUAAAAAUUAGGUUUCAUUAGUGAGCGAAAAAAAAAAGUGUGUGAUUGUAAUUGAGAGAUGAUUUGAUUACUGAGUGAAAAAAAAAUGCAACUCUAAUAUAAAAAAGAAUGGCAACUUUUAUUAUUAGAACAUUUUUACCUUUAUUUAAUUAUUGAAUUUUAAGGUGUUGGUGUAUCCGAUAGUUGUAGAGAUUAUAUUAGCAACAAAACUACAUUAAAAUCUUUUGGUUUAUUUCUUUUUAUUUUUCAUUUUUUUUAUUUAAGCUCAUAUGUGUGGAGGUGCAAAGACUAAAGGUAGAGUUAAUUUUUAUAAGUGGGAAAAAGCUAUCAUAUUUGUUGCCACGAAGCUUCAUACAAAGAAUUUUGGUUUAACAUAUUAUCAAAAUUGUCUUUCUCAACAUUAAAUGUCAACUGAUGUUGAGGUACCACAAAACUUCAUACAAAGAAUUUUGGUUUAAUGUAUUAUGAAAAUCGUCUCUCUCAAUUGAUAAAUGUUACUUACCAUUGAUGUACUCCUUACCCCUCCCAUUCCUUGUAAUAUAUAUGCUUGGAGUUAGAAAGAGGUCAAGACGCUAAGGAUGGUACCAAACGUUUGCUUGCAGUGAUAAGACCCAACAUUUAAUUGCUUAUUUCAUAGAAAAGUCUUGGAUGGUGUAGAUUUUACAAAGGAUACUUUGAUUUGGUCAAGGUAAACCUCCCCCCGCCCCAUACACACAAACACACACACCAUUCCUUAUAAUAUAUAUGCUCAAAGUUGGAAAGAGGUCUUGACUAGGGAUGCUACCAAACCUUCACUUGUAGUGACAAAACCUAAUAUUUCAUUGCUUGUUUUGUACAAAAGUCUUUGUACAAGGAACAUCAUCUUUUAUUUAUCUUGUAAGAUGACACAAAUUUUAUAACCUUACAGAACAGAUGUUCGAGAUUCUCCACUGAGCUUGCAAUGAUUGAACCUAUAACUAUUUAUUUUUAAAAAAAAUUAGGUUUCAUUAGUGAGUGAAAAGAAAAAGUGUGUGAUUGUAAUUGAGAGGCGAUUUCAUUACUGAGUGAAAAAAAAAUUUCAACUCCAAUAUAAAAAAGAAUGGCAACUUUUAUUAUUAUAACAUUUUUACCUUUAUUUAAUUAUUGAAUUUUAAGGUGUUGGUGUAUCCGAUAAUUUUAGAGGUUAUAUUAGCGACAAAACUACAUUAAAAUCUUUUGGUUUAUUUCUUUUUAUUUUUUUAUUUUUUUUAUAUAAGCUCAUAUGUGUGGAGGUGCAAAGACUAAAGGUAGAGUUAAUUUUUAUAAGUGGGAAAAAGCUAUCAUAUUUGUUGCCACGAAGCUUCAUACAAAGAAUUUUGGUUUAAUAUAUUAUCACAAUUGUCUUUCUCAACAAUAAAUGUCAACUGAUGUUGAGGUACUAUGAAACUUCAUACAAAGAAUUUUGGUUUAAUGUAUUAUCAAAAUCGUCUCUCUCAAUUGAUAAAUGUUACUUACUAUUGAUGUACUCCCCACCCCUCCCAUUCCUUGUAAUAUAUAUGCUUGGAGUUAGAAAGAGGUCAAGACGCUAAGGAUGGUACCAACCCUUCGCUUAUAGUGAUAAGACCCAACAUUUAAUUGCUUAUUUCAUAGAAAAGUCUUGGAUGACGUAGAUUUUACAAAGGAUACUUUGAUUUGGUAAAGGUAAACCUUCCCCCACCCCAUACACACAAACACACAGACCAUUCCUUAUAGUAUAUAUGCUCAAAGUUGGAAAGAGGUCAAGACUAGGGACGCUACCAACCCUCCACUUAUAGUGACAUAACCUAAUAUUUAAUUUCUUGUUUUAUACAAAAGUCUUUGUACAAGGAGCAUCGUCUUUUAUGUAUCUUGUAAGAUGACACAAAUUUUAUAACCCUACACAAAAGAUGUUCGGGAUUCUCCAUUGAGCUUGGAAUUAUUGAACCUAUAGCUAUAUAUAUAUAUAUAUUUUUAAAUUAGGUUUCAUUAGUGAGUGAAAAGAGAAAGUGUGUGAUUGUAAUUGAGAGGUGAUUUCAUUAUUGAGUGAAAAAAAAAGUGCAAUUGUAAUAUAAAAUAGAAUGGCAGCUUUUAUGAUUAUAACAUUUUUACGUUCAUUUAAUUAUUGAAUUUUAAAGUGUUGGUGUAUCCGAUAAUUGUAGAGAUUAUAUUAGUAACCAAACUACAUUAAAAUCUUUUGGUUUUUUUCUUUUUAUUUUUUAUUUUUUUAUUUCAGCUCAUAUGUAUGGAGGUGCAAAGACUAAAGGUAGAGUUAAUUUUUAUAAGUGGGAAAAAGCUGUCAUAUGUGUUGCCACGAAGCAUCAUACAAAUAUUUUUGGUUUAAUAUAUUAUCAAAAUUGUCUUUCUCAAUAAUAAAUGUCAACUGAUGUUGAGGUACCACGAAACUUCAUACAAAGAGUUUUGGUUUAAUGUAUUAUCAAAAUCGUCUCUCUCAAUUGAUAAAUGUUACUUACUAUUGAUGUAUUCCCCAUCCCUCCCAUUCCUUGUGAUAUAUAUGCUUCGAGUUAGAAAGUGGUCAAAACGCUAAGGAUGGUACGAACCCUUCGCUUACAGUGAUAAGACCCAACAUUUAAUUGCUUAUUUCAUAGAAAAGUCUUGGAUGACGUAGAUUUUACAAAGGAUACUUUGAUUUGGUAAAGGUAAACCUCUUCCCACCCCAUACACACAAACACACAAACCAUUCCUUAUAGUAUAUAUGCUCAAAGUUGGAAAGAGGUCAAGACUAGGGACGCUACCAACCCUCCACUUAUAGUGACAUAACCUAAUAUUUAAUUUCUUGUUUUAUAGAAAAGUCUUUGUAUAAGGAGCAUCAUCUUUAAUGUAUCUUGUAAGAUGACACAAAUUUUAUAACCUUACACAAAAGAUUUUCGGGAUUCUCCAUUGAGCUUGGAAUGAUUGAACCUAUAGCUAUAUAUAUAUUUUUUUAAAUUAGGUUUCAUUAGUGAGUGAAAAGAGAAAGUGUGUGAUUGUAAUUGAGAGGUGAUUUCAUUAUUGAGUGAAAAAAAAAGUGCAAUUGUAAUAUAAAAUAGAAUGGCAGCUUUUAUGAUUAUAACAUUUUUAUGUUCAUUUAAUUAUUGAAUUUUAAAGUGUUGGUGUAUCCGAUAAAUGUAGAGAUUAUAUUAGUAACCAAACUACAUUAAAAUGUUUUGGUUUAUUUCUUUUUAUUUUUUAUUUUUUUAUUUCAGCUCAUAUGUAUGGAGGUGCAAAGACUAAAGUUAGAGUUAAUUUUAUAAGUGGGAAAAAGCUGUCAUAUGUGUUGCCACGAAGCAUCAUACAAAUAUUUUUGGUUUAAUAUAUUAUCAAAAUUGUCUUUCUCAACAAUAAAUGUCAACUGAUGUUGAGGUACCACGAAACUUCAUACAAAGAGUUUUGGUUUAAUGUAUUAUCAAAAUCGUCUCUCUCAAUUGAUAAAUGUUACUUACUAUUGAUGUACUCCCCAUCCCUCCCAUUCCUUGUGAUAUAUAUGCUUGGAGUUAGAAAGAGGUCAAAACGCUAAGGAUGGUACCAACCCUUCGCUUACAGUGAUAAGACCCAACAUUUAAUUGCUUAUUUCAUAGAAAAGUCUUGGAUGACGUAGGUUUUACAAAGGAUACUUUGAUUUGGUAAAGGUAAACCUCUUCCCACCCCAUACACACAAACACACACACCAUUCCUUAUAGUAUAUAUGCUCAAAGUUUGAAAGAGGUUAAGACUAGGGAUGCUACCAACCCUCCACUUAUAGUGACAUAACCUAAUAUUUAAUUUCUUGUUUUGUACAAAAGUCUUUGUACAAGGAGCAUAAUCUUUAAUGUAUCUUGUAAGAUGACACAAAUUUUAUAACCUUACGUAAAAGAUGUUUGGGAUUCUCCAUUGAGCUUGCAAUGAUUGAACCUAUAGCUAUAUAUUUAUAAAAAAAAAUUAGGUUUCAUUAGUGAGCGAAAGAAAAAGUGUGUGAUUGUAAUUACGGGGGUUAGAUAAUAAAUAAUAAAUAAUGAAUAACAAAUCCUAGCAUGCUUAUCUAAUUAAUUAGCAAAAAUUAUCAAAAUUCGGAAUAUUUAAUUAUCAUACAUAUCUUGCAUACAAUUCCCAAAAAGAAAAACGUAAAUAUGAUUACAAUAAAUAGCAAGGUAGUAGCAAAAAAUUAAUUUUGAAAAAGAUUUUCUUAUGUAGGGAUUUCACCAAUUCCCCAAAUUAAUAUACACGAAUUUAGCCUAAAAUUGUCCCAUUUAUUUGGGACCACAAGCUUUGAUUCGCGUUUUGUUUAAAACUAAAAUUUUUGUUGAAAAUUGAGAAGGAUGCAAACCGAUCGAAAUAUGGUUGCAAAUUUUAAGAAAAUGAGAUUUUUUUUAUUCUAAGGACUCUAAAUGAAUUUUUUUUAAAAUAGAUUUUUAAAGGGAUCUUUUAAGAAAAGUGUUGGAUUUCAAAAUAAAAGAAAUUAAUUUGAAAACGACAAGACAUAAGGAACAAAAUACCAAGCAAAACAAAAGUGAUUUAAAUUGCAAAGUAGAGUUUUUGACAACUGAGAAAAUUAAAGUGGUGGGAAUGGAGGUCAAUCUUCACUAUUUUCCGAUGGCCUCCGAAAAGUAAAUUUUACCAUAGACUACCAAAGCAAUAAACUAUUCGAACUUAGAUCAUAUAAGCUAACGAUAUACCCACCAAGAAUUAAUGACUAUUUUCGAGAAACACAUCAAUUAAAAAUAACAAUCAAGAAUUAGCACAUGAUCAAUCAAACACACAAACGCGUCUAGACUGGUUAAAAUGGAUGAAAUUAAGUCAAGGCAAAUGUGAAUUUUCAGUCAUAAAAUUAAUUUUAUAAUAAGAUAAUAUUAUAGAAAAUACCUAAACUAAAUAGAUGAGUGAAGCCAAAUCAGAGUAAACUAAAAGCAUGAACUUUCAAAUAUAGAAUCAAUUUUAUUAAUGAAUUAAAACUAUAAAAGUACCUAAACUAAUCGAAAUGAACCAAAUUAAAUUGAAGCAAGCUAAAAAAAAGUGAGCUUUCGAACAUAGGAUUAAUUUUAUUAAUAAACUAAAAUUAUCUAAUUACCUAAACUAAUUAAAAUGAACAAAAUUAAAUAAAAGAAAACUAAAAGUAUGAACUUUCAAACAUGGAAUUAACUUUUUCAAUGAUCUAAAACUACAAAAGUAUUUAAACUAAAUAGAUGAGUUAAAUUUAACCAAGGUAGACUAAAAGAAACAUGAUUUUUUUCACAUAAAAUUGAUUAUACCAAAAAGUUAGAAACUCACAAACACAUCUAAACUAUAAGAAAAAUCAGCACUAAAGUAAAUUGAAAUGAAAAAAUAAGAACUUUAUCAUGUAGAAUUAAUUAAACUAAUUAUAAAAAAAACAUCUAAACUAACGAAAUAAAUUAAAAUUAAACUAAAAUAAAAUUUAAAAAAAAGAAAAAGAAACUUGCCUUCAAGAAUGCAUAUUGCUGAAUCUGUUGUAGGAAGACCGUUCUUGGAUGCGUGCUGUUCUUUGCGUGUUUCAGAAAAUCAUCUCUUAAUGCGUGGCUUAUGUGGCGGCCAUCUUCCUCUUUCCAUAAGAUACAAUUCCAUAAGUACCCGAACCAAGUUCUUUUAUGUAUUCCAGGUCAGAAUUUUAUUUUAUUUUUUAUAAUCUGCAGCACUCUAGUGGCUAGAAGAGAAUAAAAUAUGGCCUGGUUGUGUAGUUGACAAUGACGGGAAUUGGAGGAUUCAUCAUUUUCAAAGAUGCAUGGAUGGAUGGGCUGCUGUCCAGAUGGUUCCGUCGGUGAGUUCAAACAGCCGCCUCUUUGCUCUCAAAUCUCCUUGCACUGAUCCCUUCAAAACAGCCCCUCUCACACUCUCUAAACUCUCUCUUUUAUAUCCCUUGAAAUAGCCUCUCGCAUGCUCUCAAAACUCUCUCUUCGGAUCAUCUCAAACAGCAGCUCCUCACGCUCUGAAAAUGCGGACUGAUCUUUGUGCGAACAGCAGCCUAUGAUCCCUUCAAAAUGCCUACUAAUCUCCUCCCAAACGGCAUCCUCAAAGGCUCUAAAAAAUCCCUCAUCUGAUCACUUCAAACAGCAGCCUCUCAUGCUUCAAAACGCAGGUUGAUCCUCUCCAAACAGCAGCCUCUCACGCUCCAAAACACAGGGUGAUCCCUUCCAAACCGUAGCCUCCCUCAAAAGCCCCUUCUCCGUGUGGAUCUCUCUGCUCCCAGAAAAUCAUAUAUUCUCUCCGUGUCCUCCAAAAAAUCCCCCCCGCUUUUGGUAUCUUUUCCUUCAUUUUUUUUUUUUUAAAUCUUCCGAUUCAAAGGCAAUCUUUCCAAUUUCAAAAUCCCCUCCAAAACCUUCCAAGGAGAGUCCCACUUUCCUUAAAAUCUGAUGGUAAGUUUCCUUGCAAAAAGCAUGAAAUUUUAGAAGUUAAAUAAUUGAAUGAAUAGAUGAAUAAGUAAAAAAAAUCAGAAAAUGGUAAAAAUAAUAAAUAAAUAAAUAAGUUAAGGAAAAUAAUAUAAAGAGGAAGAUAACCAAUAAAAAGUGAAUGAUAAUCAUAAAACUAAAACUAAAAAUAAAUAAAUAAAUAAAUAAAUAAAAAUAAAUAAAAAUAAACAAAUUAACAAAAAUUGGGCCCCACGAGCCAUGCAAACACGCAAGUCAUAUAAGUCAAGCUAAAAAAAUCUUAAUAGACCCAGUGUACCUAAACGGGCCUAAGGUGAGACUAAGUGGGCCUAGGGUGGUGCCUAAGUGUAUCUAAGUGAACUUAAAGUGCUUAAGUGGAUCUAAGUGAACCUAAAGUGCCUAAAUGAGCCUAAGUCUAAAUUAGGGCUACCAAGAGUCACAAUAGGGUUAAAUGAAUCCCUCAACCAAAGUCCGCGAGGUGGCUAAAAAAUAAAAAUAAAAAUAUAGGUCACGCGAGUAAUAAUGGGCCACCAGGGAAUUGCUGUAAAGGACAUAUGAUAGGAGGACAAAAUGGAGGCUCUACACUUACAUAAAAGAUGUUCGGGAUUCUUCAUUGAGCUUGCAAUGAUUGAACCUAUAGCUAUAUAUAUAUUUUUUAAAUUAGGUUUCAUUAGUGAACGAAAAAAAAAAGUGUGUGAUUGUAAUUGAGAGGAGAUUUCAUUAUUGAGUGAAAAAAAAAAAGAAAGAACAACUCUAAUAUAAAAAAGAAUGACAACUUUUAGUUUUAUAACAUUUUUACUUUCAUUUAAUUAUUAAAUUUUAAAGUGUUGGUGUAUCCCAUAAUUGUAGAGAUUAUAUUAGUAACCAAACUACAUUAAAAUGUUUUGGUUUAUUUCUUUUUAUUUUUUAUUUUUUUUAUUUCAACUCAUAUGUAUGGAGGUUCAAAGACUAAAGGUAGAGUUAAUUUUUAUAAGUGGGAAAAAGCUAUCAUAUGUGUUGCCAUGAAGCAUCAUACAAAUAUUUUUGGUUUAAUAUAUUAUCAAAAUUGUCUUUCUCAACAAUAAAUGUCAACUGAUGUUGAGGUACCACAAACUCCAUACAAAGAGUUUCGGUAUAAUGUAUUAUCAAAAUCGUCUCUUUCAAUUGAUAAAUGUUACUUACUAUUGAUGUACUCCCCACCCCUCCCAUUCCUUGUGAUGUAUAUGCUUGGAGUUAGAAAGAGGUUAAAACACUAAGGAUGGUACCAAACCUUCGCUUGCAGUGAUAAAACCCAACAUUUAAUUGCUUAUUUCAUAGAAAAGUCUUGGAUGGCGUAGAUUUUACAAAGGAUACUUUGAUUUGGUCAAGGUAAACCUCCCCCCACCCCAUACACACAAACACACGCACCAUUCCUUGUAAUAUAUAUGCUCGAAGUUGGAAAGAGGUAAAGACUAGAGAUGCUACCAAACCUCCACUUGUAGUGACAAAACCUAAUAUUUAAUUGCUUGUUUUGUACAAAAGUCUUUGUAGAAGGAGCAUCAUCUUUCAUGUAUCUUGUAAGAUGACACAAAUUUUAUAACCUUACAUAAAAGAUGUUUGGGAUUCUCCACUGAGCUUGCAAUGAUGUAGCUUGUAGCUAUAUAUAUAUAUUUUAAAUUAGGUUUCAUUAGUGAGCGAAAAGAAAGAGUGUGUGAUUGUAAUUGAGACGAGUGAAAAAAAAUUCAACUCUAAUAUAAAAAAGAAUGACAACUUUUAGUAUUAUAACAUUUUUACCUUCAUUUAAUUAUUGAAUUUUAAAGUGUUGGUGUAUCCAAUAAUUGUAGAGAUUAUAUUAGUAACCAACUACAUUAAAAUCUCUUGGUUUAUUUCUUUUUAUUUUUUUAUUUUUUAUUUAUUUUAGCUCAUAUGUGUGGAGGUGCAAAGACUAAAGGUAGAUUUAAUUUUUAUAAGUGGGAAAAAUCUAUCAUAUGUGUUGCCAGGAAGCAUCAUACAAAUAUUUUUGGUUUAAUAUAUUAUCAAAAUUGUCUUUCUCAACAAUAAAUGUCAAUUGAUGUUGAGGUACCACGAAACUUCAUACAAAGAAUUUUGGUUUAAUGUAUUAUAAAAAUCGUCUCUUUCAAUUGAUAAAUGUUACUUACUAUUGAUGUACUCCCCACCCCUCCCAUUCCUUGUAAUAUAUAUGCUUGGAGUUAGAAAGAGGUCAAGACGCUAAGGAUGGUACCAAACCUUCGCUUCUAGUGAUAAGACCCAACAUUUAAUUGCUUAUUUCAUAGAAAAGUCUUCAAUGGCGUAGAUUUUACAAAGGAUACUUUUAUUUGGUCAAGGCAAACUUCCCCCCACCCCAUACACACAAAAACACACAUCAUUCCUUGUAAUAUAUAUGCUCGAAGUUGGAAAGUGGUCAAGACUAGGGAUGCUACCAAACCUCCACUUGUAGUGACAAAACCUAAUAUUUAAUUGCUUGUUUUGUACAAAAGUCUUUGUACAAGGAGCAUCAUCUUUCAUAUAUCUUGUAGGGUGACACAAAUUUUAUAACCUUACAUAAAAGAUGUUUGGGAUUCUCCACUGAGCUUGCAAUGAUUGAGCCUAUGGCUAUAUAUAUAUUUAAAUUAGGUUUCAUUAGUGAGCGAAAAGAAAAAGUGUGUGAUUGUAAUUGAGAGGAGAUUUCAUUAUUGAGUGAAAAAAAAAAAAAGAACAACUCUAAUAUAAAAAAGAAUGGCAGCUUUUAGUUUUAUAACAAUUUUACUUUCAUUUAAUUAUUGAAUUUUAAAGUGUUGGUGUAUCCCAUAAUUGAAGAGAUUAUAUUAGUAACCAAACUACAUUAAAAUCUUUUGGUUUUUUUCUUUUUAUUUUUUUAUUUUUUUUAUUUCAGCUCAUAUGUGUGGAGGUGCAAAGACUAAAGGUAGAGUUAAUUUUUAUAAGUGGGAAAAAGCUAUCAUAUGUGUUGCCACGAAGCUUCAUACAAAGAAUUUUGGUUUAAUAUAUUAUCAAAAUUGUCUUUCUCAACAAUAAAUGUCAACUGAUGUUGAGGUACCACCAAACUUCAUACAAAGAGUUUUGGUUUAAUGUAUUAUCAAAAUCGUCUCUCUCAAUUGAUAAAUGUUACUUUCGAUUGAUGUACUCCCCACCCCUCCCACUCCUUGUAAUAUAUAUGCUUGGAGUUAGAAAGAGGUCAAAAUGCUAAGGAUGGUACCAAACCUUCACUUGCAGUGAUAAGACCCAACAUUUAAUUGCUUAUUUCAUAGAAAAGUCUUGGAUGGCGUAGAUUUUACAAAGGAUACUUUGAUUUGGUCAAGGUAAACCUCCUCCCACCCCAUACACACAAACACACACACACACACACACCAUUUCUUGUAAUAUAUAUGCUCGAAGUUGGAAAGAGGUCAAGACUAGGGAUGCUACCAAACCUCCACUUGUAGUGACAAGACCUAAUAUUUAAUUGCUUGUUUUGUACAAAAGUCUGUGUACAAGGAGCUUCAUUUUUCUUGUAUCUUGUAGGAUGACACAAAUUUUAUAACCUUACAUAAAAGAUGUUCGGGAUUCUCUACUAAGCUUGCAAUGAUUGAGCCUAUAGCUAUAUAUUUUUUUAAAAAAAUUAGGUUUCAUUAGUUAGCGAAAAGAAAACGUGUGUGAUUGUAAUUAAGAGGAGAUUUCAUUAUUGAGUGAAAAAAUGAAAGUGCAACUCUAAUAUAAAAAAGAAUGGCAGCUUUUAGUAUUAUAACAUUUUUACCUUCAUUUAAUUAUUCAAUUUUAAAGUGUUGGUGUAUCCCAUAAUUGUAGAGAUUAUAUUAGUAACCGAACUAGGUUAAAAUCUUUUGGUUUAUUUCAUUUUAAUUUUUUAUUUUUUUUUAUUUCAGCUCAUAUGUGUGGAGGUGCAAAGACUAAAGGUAUAGUUAAUUUUUAUAAGUGGGAAAAAGCUAUCAUAUUUGUUGCCACAAAGCUUCAUACAAAGAAUUUUGGUUUAAUAUAUUAUCAAAAUUGUCUUUCUCAACAAUAAAUGUCAACUGAUGUUGAGGUACCACCAAACUUCAUACAAAGAGUUUUGGUUUAAUGUAUUAUCGAAAUCGUCUCUCUCAAUUGAUAAAUGUUACUUACUAUUGAUGUACUCCCCACCCCUCCCAUUCCUUGUAAUAUAUAUGCUUGGAGUUAGAAAGAGGUCAAGACACUAAGGAUGGUACCAAACCUUCGCUUGCAGUGAUAAGACCCAACAUUUAAUUGCUUAUUUCAUAGAAAAGUCUUGGAUGGCGUAGAUUUUACUAAGAGUACUUUGAUUUGCUCAAGGUAAACCUCACCCACCCCAUACACACAAACACACACAUCAUUCCUUGUAAUAUAUAUGCUCAAAGUUGGAAAGAGGUCAAGACUAGGGAUGCUACCAAACCUUCACUUAUAGUGACAGGACGUAAUAUUUAAUUGCUUGUUUUGUACAAAAGUCUUGUACAAGGAGCAUCACCUUUCAUAUAUCUUGUAAGAUGACUCAAAUUUUAUAACCUCACAUAAAAGAUGUUCGAGAUUCUCCACUGAGCUUGCAAUGAUGUAGCCUAUAGCUAUAUAUGCAUUUUUUAAAAUUAGGUUUCAUUAGUGAGCGAAAAGAAAAAGUGUGUGAUUGUAAUUGAGAUGACAUUUCAUUAUUGAGUGAGAAAAAAAAGUGCAACUCUUAUAUAAAAAAGAAUGAUAGCUUGUAGUAUUAUAACAUUUUUACCUUCAUUUAAUUAUUCAAUGAUACUUUGAUUUGAUGGGAGUUGAAAAGAUGGCUAUUGCCUAUUUUACAAAAAACAAAGGUCUUUGUACAAGGAGCAUCAUCAUUAAUGUAUCUUGUAGGAUGCAUAGAUUUUUCAAAGGAUACGUUGAUUUGAUGUAUCUUAUAAGAUAUAUAGAUUUUACAAAGGGUACUUUGAUUUGGUCAAGGUAAAAGAUGGUCCCCCUCCAUCCCCCACCCUACCCUCCCCAACCUUUGCUUUCAAUGACAAGAUCCAACAUUUAAUUUUCUGUUUCAUAGAAAAGUCUUUAUAUAAUGUAUCAUCAUUGACGUAUCUUGUAGGAUACGCAAAUUUUACAAAGGAUAUUUUGAUAUGGUCAAGGUAAAUGAAUUAAAUCAAAGAGAUGUUAUCUCUUAUCAUGCCCCCCAAAUUAGUUGUAAUAAUUCAAGGUUUUAUUUUUCUUCAUAUAAUAUGUGCCCAUUACUCAAGAAGUGAUACAAAUAACAAACUAAACUCAGUUGGUUCCAUGUUUAUUAAAUUAUAAAAAAUAAAAAUAAAAAUAAAAUAAAAUAAAAUAAAUAAAUAAAUAAUAACCAUCUAAAUAAAUAAUAUAAUGCUAAUUUUUAAAAAUUAUAUAUUUUUUUGGUUAAAAAAUGAUAAUAUUUUAAUAAAAAUUAUAAAUAAAGAUUCUAAUAUUUCAAUAAAUCUAUAAAUUAUAUAGGUUUUUUGUUAAAAUGAAUGGUAAAAUCAUGGGAGAAUGAUAACUACUAAUAAUAUUUUAUUUAAAAUUAAUUAUAAAAUAAAUAUAAUUGUUUUUUUUUUUAAAAAAAAGUAUGCGAAUAUACGUACAUCUAACAAGACAUGCAGUUUCCUUGCAUGCUGUCGAUAAAGAGACGAGAGUCCAGUUGGGCGUCCUUCUCAAGUUGACUGCAGAGUAGUCCUGAUUCCAGCUGGCUUCUGGUUUCAAAAUUCAAAAUUCUAAGUCCUAUAAAUAAUCUCUUAGUUUCUCUCCAAUAUUAUGACUACCAUAGCUUCCAACGAGUUCAAAGAUGAGAAGGCACCCUACCCAACUCCUUGCCUCUCUCUUGUUCUUUCUCUUUCCCACGAUUUUCUUCAUAGAAAAGGGCAUGGCACAGAACACAACAAUACCAGUUAAAGUGGGAGUGGUUCUGGACUUGGAUACAUUGGUUGGGAAGAUGGGCUUGAGCUGCAUCUCCAUGGCCCUUUCAGACUUAUAUGCCUCUCAUGGUCACUACAAAACCAGGGUGGUUACAAAAAUCAGAGACUCCAAAAGAGAUGUUGUUGGUGCAGCUGCAGCAGGUACUAUCCCUUGAAUCUUCUCCUUCAAGAGUUAAACUCAGCAGUCUAAAUAAUUUCAGAAUAAUCCGAGAGCCUGAUUGGAAAUUGUUUUUUUAGAAUACUUUUUUGUUCUCUAGAACAAAAAACAUAAAAAAACAAAAAAUUGUCUAACAACAAAAAAUUGUUUUAUGUUUUUUAUUCUUAAUUUUAUAUUAUUUUCACUUGUUUUUAAAAGUUGUUGUAAGAAAUAAUUAUACAAAUAUUAAAAAUAGAUUAAAAAUAUUUCAAGUUUUUAAAUAAACUUUUGUUUUACAAAAAUAAAAGAAUAGUUACUAAACAUGUUCUAAAUAUCUGCACCAUUUAGAAAACCAAACUUUAUUAUUGUAAAAAUAAAUAAAAAAUGAAAAAUGAAAAAUGAAGCAAUUGAUGUUGAGUCAAUCCAUUUGCGUUAGGAACAUCGUCGGACUUAUUCUCUUUGAGAAUUAAUAAACUUAAUUGGGAGCAAUUUAACUACCAUACCAAAAGAUAUUUGCUUUGAGUAUUCUCUUAGAAAAGCUACAAGAAUACUCAAUAAUGUUGAAUUCGUUUUGAAGUUGAUGCAUUAUUUAUAUUUAAUAUUUUUAGAAUUAGAUCAAUUAUUAUAAAAUUUAAAAAGUUAUGGUUUUAUAGUUUAGUGAUUGAACUAAUGAUUAAAUCGUGGUUGAACCAAUUGCAUUAUAAAUAUAUAAUUUAUAUAUCAUUAAAAUUACAAAUAAUUAUAAAGUUUUAAUAUAUAUAUCUUAAUAAUAAUAAUAUAUGUUUUUCAUAUUUGAUAUUAUCAAAUUUAUAUCAUAAAUAAAUAUAAAUAUAUUAAAUUUUAUUAAAUGAGUGGGUACCUUCCCAUCUAUGAUCAGAUUGUCCAUGGUUCAAAUCCACCAAUUCUAAGAAUUUAGGAUUUUACAACAACUCACUGUCUUUGAUUCCACAUUCAACAACUCAAUAUCUCUUAUCGGUGUCAAUCAUAAUUACCCAAAGUGGAGCCAGGCCUUAAUAUAUAUUGAGCUCGGCUUCCACCCCUUCACUAUGGGCUUGGCUUUUGCUGAGAGGAAAAAAAGGUUGGCCAACCCAAAACCAACAAUGGCCUGGUUCACUGGGUCAAUGGUCCAGCUGUUGGUUUGUCUGGUUCGAGGUUGGCUCAACGUGUACUCCGGACCAAGAUCUGGUCAACGGUUUGAUGUCUGAUCCAGAAAAAAAAAAAUUAGAAUCUAAAAUUUUAAUUAUUGUGAAAUUCAGCUCUAGAUUUAUGACAAAAUGAGGAAGUUCAAGCCAUCAUAGGACCGGCAUCCUCCAUGCAGGCCAACUUUGUGAUUGGUCUCGGAGACAAGGCUCAUGUGCCCAUCAUUUCAUUUUCCGCAACUAGUCCUUCCCUUUCUUCGCUCCGGAGUCCAUAUUUUGUCCGAGCCACACUGAAUGACUCAGCUCAAGUACCAGCUAUAAGGGCAAUUGUCCAAGCCUUUGAGUGGAGAGAAGUUGUGCUCAUUUACGUGGACAACGAGUAUGGAAAUGGAGUAAUACCAUAUCUUACUGAUGCCUUGCAAGAGAUUGACACCCGUAUCUCCUACAGGAGCGUCAUUCAUCCAUUAGCCACCGAUGAUCAAAUCCUCGAAGAGCUUUACAAGUUGAUGACAAUGCCAACCAGAGUUUUCAUUGUACACAUGUUUACACCUCUAGGCCCACGGCUUUUCACCAGAGCGAAUGAGAUUGGAAUGAUGAAAGAAGGUUAUGUUUGGAUUCUAACUGAUGGGUUAACUGAUAUCUUGAGUACUUUGGAUCCAUCUGUCAUUGAUUCAAUGCAAGGAGUGUUGG
rnacentral:lncRNA from 1 species